rnacentral:lncRNA from 1 species
UCGACACGUGUUAGCCAUACCUUGACAGCUUCAAGCCUUUGUUGAUGUUGUGCCUCCUCUCUCGCUACUUUGUUCUUCACCUCAGCUUCAAUUGCCUUGAGAUCAUCCAUUUCCCUCUUCAGAGCCCUGAGAUUCUCCUUGAGGUUUCGAAUAUAACCUUUACCACAUAAGAGUCUAAAGAUACGAUUGAGAUCAUCACCAGUAAGUUGGAUAGGAUUACAACUCCCCAUGUCGAUAGAAAGAGAGAAAACUUUGAGUAAGCAACAAACGCAAGCUAAAGAUGAAGAAGUAUUUUUUUUUUUUUUUUUUUUUUUGAUGAAGAAGUAUUUAAUGUGAAAAGCAUUUUACAAGUGACGAAGGCAUAUAUGAUUUGUUAUCUGUCGGUCCUCUUUGGGUUCUAAUUUCCACAACUACCACAUAUGCAUCGACUGAUACGAUUCACAUGAAAAAUGAAAAGCCACACAAUUUCUCUAUGGUGAUGGAAAGAGAAUAUUUCUGAAGCUGAAGAAGUUUUUUAUGUCAAAGAAAUCAUUGGAGAUAAGAGCAUGUGCAAUGGGAGAAACCCUCAUGGGUCUCUAUCCCUUUUUUUUUUUAUUAAUAUUAUAAAUUGCUUUAUAAGUAGAAACUCUAUGGAGAGACUUUGUAAUUUUUGAGGGUCCAAUAGGAGAAACUCGAAUCUAUAAUAUUAUUUACGAAGUCAAAAAUUUUAUGUGUCAUCACCACAACGAUUGCCCUACGUGGCAUUAAUAAAAAAAUAUUAUAUGUCAUUUUAAUUCGUUUUGAUAGGUCUAUCAUUAAUCCUACAUGUAAAAACCGGUGACAUGGAUUUUCCUUCGAUAAUAUAACGGCCCAUGGGCCAGAGAUUUUAACAACCGUCAUAACCAUAAAAACCUAAACUCUAGCGUAUUCUUCUUUUUAGAGCUGGAAUUAUCAUCCAAAAUCCGCUCCAAAAAAAUCGGAUAUCUGAAAGGGUCGGAUCCGGAUCCAGAUAGUAAAAUUUCAUGUUUGUCAAAACUGGAUACGGAUCCAGAUAGUUAAAUUAUAAGGUCCAAAUAUCAGUAUCCGAAUCUCUAACCUCUAAAUAUAUUUGAAAAUUAUAUUUUAUUAAUAAUUUUAUAAUAUAAUUAAGAUUAUUAUAUAUAAAAAUAAUUUAAAUUAAAAUUAAAAUAUCUUUUCAUAAUAAAAAGUUAAUUGUUUUACAAAAUAUUAAAUAAAAAUUUAAUUUUAUCAUUAUUUUAAUAUUUAUAUUUUAAAUAUUUUUUGGAUUCGGAUCUGGAUUCGGAUAUCCGCGGAUAUCUUAAUAUUUAGACGAAUAUCCGCAGUCCGGAUAUCCGAACAUCCCAGGUACAGAUCUGGAUAAUUAAAAAUCGGAUCCAGAUAUCACAAAAUUACCCGGAUAUCCACUUCGUGCUGGGGCUACUUCCUCUUAUAUAUAUUCUUUCUUAAUCUCUCGGUAUUCUUUUGGAUUUUGCUCUGUUUUUGAUUUUGCUCUGUUUUUUUUCUUUAUUUAGAUGUUCAGCUUUAAUCUUAUGUCAAUAUAAAUUGAUUUUCUAAUUUUGGUUUCCACUCUUUAUGUUCUUUUCGUCACUUUAAUUAAUCUUUUCUUUUGGGCUAUACACAUUAUGAUCAUGUUUUCGUAUGUCCUAUUUAUUAUAAUUAUUAACAUAUGCUUUUUGUUGUUCUGUUCUCUUAGACUUCAUCCCCCAAAGUUCUUCAAGAUCUUACAUGUAAUAAUAAACGUUUGUUUCCUUCAGGUCACUGAUUCCAGCUUUUGCAAUCAUAUCUUUAAAUGGAUCCAAAAGGUAAUUGCAAAUAAUCAUUAAAAUCUCUUUUUAGUUUUAGAUGGUUUUUUGCCUUUCGUAUUUAACAAUUUUUUUAAUCCUUUUUAACAUUAGCAAUUUAAUCAGUUUUAAAAUUUUGAAAACAAAAUUGUUUAGCCGAUUAACUCUUUUAAUUAGCUUUUCCUUUUACAUGUUUUUUCUCUUUUUCUUUUUUAAAAAUUUCUUUUUUUCCUUGCUUUUUUAACACUUUAAAUAGUAUAUUUCAUAUGAUUUUGAGACUUCGCAAAGUUAUAGAAGUAAUUGUUAUUUCUGUUUCUUGUUUGCUCAUAAAGGAAAAAAUGGUAAUUUUUUCAUAUCCUUUUAUGUUACUUUUUUCUUAAUAUUGAAUUAAGGAUUUAUUUUUGUAUUUUGGUUAUGAUAUCUCGUGGAAUGAUGAACUUGGAUUUAGAUUAUUAUAUUACUUAUAGAUUGAUAUAGUCAUUGUCACUUAUCCCCCAAUAUAUGAAUAUUAAUAUUGGCUUUAAUUUUUUUGUAUAAUAGUUUUCACCAAUCAAAUUAAAUUGAUUUGAAUUGGUCAGGUUUUGUUACUUGUGUGACAUACUUUUGAUGCAAGAAUUUCCACAACAAAAUAUCCAGGUUGAAAUAUAUUAACCAUUACAAAAAAUAAAUAAUAUUAAAUAGUUAGAUUGUAAUUUUAUAUAUUAAAAAUAAUAAGCCAGAACAAAGGCACAUCUAUUCAUAUAUGCGAUUUCCAUAAUUUUGGAUUCCAUAUAUUUAUCAAAAUUUUAAUAUAUCUGGAUCAGAAAAAUAUUAAAUUAAAACAAACAAGUGACAACAAAAUAUGAAUAUUGUAAAUGAUUUUUUUUUUAAUUAUAGAUGUUAUCAUUAAAAAAAAAGACAAUUCUCAAAAAUGGUCCAAAAAACUAAAUCUUCUCAAAAAGAGCCAUUUCUUUUCACAGGGCCAAAUAUAGCAUUCAUUAAAACAAAACAAAAAAAAAACACGAUUAAUUUUAAUUCUAUUUCCUCCUCUAUGAAAAUCACAAAUCUCACAAAAACUUUCAUUGAUCGCCUCACGACUUCCACUGUUGUCAGAAUUUCAUCUGGAAUUUGACGGAAUCAUCGUCGGAGUUAGCAAAUCUUCACUCUGAUAAUCGAGCUAAUCCCAACUUUGUCUCCUUCAAACAAUUUUUCAUUUUCUUUGAAACCUUAAUCGAUAUCUCAAAUUUGGGAAAAAAUGGGGGUUUCGGAAAAAAAUAGGGGGUUUUAAAAACUUUUGUGAUCAACCUAUAGGUUUUCGGCAAAAAUCUGUUUUCUUGAAUCCUAAAUCGUUUUGAAACCGUUUUCAAACUGCAGAUCGUCAGAAAUUCAAAACCCAUGCCUGAAUUUUCAACGGGAAUGCCUCCCUAAUAUUCAGGAAUGAUUCAUAUUGGUUUAAGAAUGUAUUCAUGAAUCAUUAGACCUUCAGGAAUACCUUUAAAAUGUUUAUGUAUUUGUUGUUUUAUAUACCUACAACAAGUCUCAAUAGUUUGUUUUAAUCUUUGUAUUAUCUAUUAUUUUGACAGUUUUAACUAUACAUGUUUACAUGUAUAAACAUGGACAAGCUUUCCGUGAGAAGUUUAUUAAGAUAAUUUUAGGAAGCCUUUCCUAAAAUAUUAAGAGACCUUAUUGAAUUUUCAAUUCAGGAAGGCUUUCCUAAUUUUCAGGAAGAAAUUCGUAAUAGUUUAAGAAGAUCUUUCUUAAUAAUAAACCUUCAAUGAUCACGUUUUAAAUUUCUCUUAUAGAUUUUGAAUGUAUAAAAUGUUAAUGUAUUUGUUGUUUAACAAACAUUUUCUCUUGAUUUGAUCGGGUCUAAGACAUUUUGUGAUGAAUAAAGUUGAUUGAAUACCAUUAAGUAGCAAGUAGGUUUGCAUUGCAAUGCUUUUGAAGAGUAUGCUGUAUCAAACCAAAAAUAAGUUGUUUACAUUUUAAUUUCAGACCAAACUACAGAUUUUAAACUUUUGGAAUCCAUGUCUGAAUUUUCAAUUAGAGAAUGCCUCCAUAAAUAUUCAGGAAGGAUUCAUAAUAAUGUAGGAAUGUCUUCAUGAAUCAUAUAUCUUUCAAAAAACAAUUAAAAAAAACAAUAAGCAAGUGAUCUAUAUAUUUUGUGACGACGUUGAAGCCAAAAUUGAAAACCCUGAAAAUUUACUGAUAAAAGAAUGUGUCGAUAUUGUUAAAGAGAUAGUAAAAGAAUUCUAUGGUGAUUCAUACAUAUCAGAGAGAGAUCCAAAGUUUUUUUAAGAUAAAGCAAUUCUCAGCCCGAGAAAUGUAAAUGUGGGAUUCAUAAACGAAUACAUGUUGUCGAAAAUGCAAGGUGAACAUAUUUAACGCUUUAUAAAUAUAUAUAUGAUCUUACACUUGAGCUUCAUAUCGUUAUUUUAAGUUAUACUUAGUGAACUUUGUUUAAAUUUUUUCUAGGUGAUGAACAUACAUAUUUUAGCUCGGACAGUAUUGAUAUUUCUGAUAAGGGUAAGAUUGACGAAAAAGUCUACACCCAGGAAGAUCUUAAUAGUAUUAAGAUCUCAUGAUUACCGAAUCAUGAAUUAAAAUUAAAAAUAUGAACAUCUAUUAUGUUGGUUUGGAAUAUUGACCAUAGAGGUGGUUUAUGCAAUGAAACAAGACUCUUAGUAACACAAUUGGUCAAAAGGUCUUGAUCCCACAAAUAUUUGUUUCUCCUACCGAGACAAGGUUUCCAUUUAAAUGAGGUGUAAAAAAUUUCCUAUAGCUAUCCCCUAUGCAAUGACUAUCGAUAAAAGCCAAUGACAGACUUUGCAAAAGGUUGGACUGUAUUUACUAAAACCUGUAUUUUUCCAUGGACAACUUUAUGUGGAUAUAUCACGUGUUAUUUCGAGAGCUAGUUUGAAGAUUCUGAUAACGGAUACUAUGAGUAAGCCACAAACCAAGACUUUGAACAUUAUAUACAAGGCCGUCUUUCAGAAUGUAAGAAAACGAUAGUUUAUUUUAUUUAUUUGGUUUAGAACUUUACUAAUUUAAUGGUUUGUUUUAAUGACACUCGGUUUACUUAUGCUUCAAAAUUAAUAUCUUUUCUCUUUUUCCAUUAAUGGUUAUCCUAAUUGUCAAGAAUCGAUACUUUUAUUAAAUAUAAGAGAAAUCGAGUACAAAACCAUAAUGGUAUUUGAAAAAUACACACUAAUACAAACUUCAACUUAAGAAUCUGCAGUUGGAAUGUUGUACAUCAACAAAUAUUGAUGCACAUAACGAUAAUGGUCACAGUUGAUAAACUGAUGAGUUUUUUCAUAAGUAACAUUAUCCAACUAUCAAAAUUUAUGAGUUUAUUAACGAUACAGAUCACAAUAUCAUUAUCAAACUAUCGAAACUUUUCACCAUUAUAAAAAAUGAUUCAGAUAGUUAGUAUUGUUAGAAUAAGAAAAUAUUAAAAUAUAUCAUUUUAAAAUAUUAUAUAUAACUUAUAAAUCUCAUAUUUAUCAAUGAUCGCCUCUACAAAUUUUAUAAUCAGCUUGGUAUACAUUGCAAGCCCGCGCUUGGCGCGGGUCUCCACCUAGUUGAUCUCUAAAAAAAAACUUAAAAAAUAAAUUUACUUUGAAAGCAAUGUUUAUUUCAUUCAUACAGACUUAAAAUUAAAAAAUUACAACAAAUAAAACAUAAAAUAUAUUACAUUAAACUUAAGUUUUUAUUUUGUGUUUAGCCAAAUUUUUGCCAUAUAUGCUCGACCAAAUCGGCUUUUAAUUGAUGAUGCACUUCUGGUGAUCAAAUUUUUUUCUGGGUAUCCAUCAUAUUUAAAAUAUUUGUAGGCAUAGUUGUGGAAUAUGAAUAAUCCACAUUUGAACUUCCGCCUCCUUCCCCUUGUUGGAAUUCUUCAAUACGAAAGUGCUUGUAUCCUUUGUUGAACUAAGCUUGAACAAAGCUUGAGAAACAAGUUUCCUAAAAGGAUUAGGAAAUAUAGUAUAUUUAGGAGAUACCUAAAUAUACCUUAGGAGUUAUCUAUAAGAAGUUUUCUAUUUCUAUAAGGUUUAGGAAUUUGUAAGUCUUCUCUUCUAUAUAUAUGAAGUUACCAAAGUGUGGUAGACUCAUGAGAUUAUAGAGAGAGCUUUGAGGCUUUAAGUUUUUGAGUGAGUUUUCUUAAAGCAAUAAAAGGUGCUUUGGCAAUCUUAUAUUCUCAAAGAAGUUAGGGUUUAGAACUUUAUUUGGUAUCAGAGCUUGUGAGAAGAACGAUCCAACCCAACAUCAAACCAUGGGAGAUAUCGUCCCUGCUACGCGAGCAAAAGAAAUCAGUAUAUCAUCAAUUCAAUGUCCAAUGUUGAAUACGACUAAUUAUACUGUGUGGGCAAUGAGAAUGAGGGUCCUUCUCAAAGUUCACAAGGCCUGGGAGGUCAUCGAGACAGAAACAGCUGAAGGAGAUAAAAACGAUCUGGCUAUGGGACUCAUCUUUCAGUCCAUACCCGAGACAUUAGUCUUACAAGUUGGAGAACUCAACUCUGCGUAUAAGGUUUGGAACGCUAUUAAAGGACGACAUGUUGGAGCAGAGAGAGUCAGAGAAGCACGACUACAAACCUUAAUGGCAGAGUUCGAUCGUUUAAAGAUGAAGGAUUCAGAGACCAUUGAUGAUUUCAGUGGAAAGCUUUCGGAAAUUUGUUCGAAAUCAGCAGCACUAGGAACCAACAUCGAAGAGUCGAAACUAGUCAAAAAGUUCCACAAGAGCAUACCUCGGAAGAAAUAUAUACACAUCGUGGCAUCACCAGAACAGGUGCUUGACCUAAACACAACAAGUUUUGAGGAUAUUGUUGGGCGUUUAAAGGCAUAUAAAAAACGUAUAUACGAGGAAACCGAGGAAACUCAAGAAGAACAUAGCAAGUUGAUGUAUGCAAAUACAGAAACUCAGCAAAACCGGAGUCAGAAUAAUGAAAAUAGAAACAAAGGUCGAGGAGGACGUUUCUAUAACAGAGGAAGAGGACGCGGAAGAUCAAACGAGAGAUCGUAUGAACCAGGAGACUUAUCAAAGGUUGUUUGCUAUUGGUGUGACAAGACAGGACAUUAUGCAGCGAGUUGCCCGGAUCGUCUACUUAAACUCCAGGAAACACAAGAAAACGAAGCAGAGGAUGAUACACAAAAGGCGGAAUCCCUUCUAAUGCACGAAAUUGUGUAUCUUAAUGAAAAGAAUGUGAAACCAAAGGAGUUCGAGACACGAUCCGAUAGAGAGUGGUAUUUAGACAACGGUGCCAGUAACCACAUGCCAGGAAAUCGAACCUGGUUCACAAAAAUCAACGAGAUGAUCACAGGGAAAGUACGAUUCGGAGAUGAUUCACGUAUAGACAUCAAAGGGAAGGGUUCGAUCCUGUUCAUGACAAAAAACGGUGAUAAGAAGAUACUAGCCGAUGUCUAUUAUAUACCAGAUCUCAAAAGCAACAUAAUAAGCCUAGGACAGGCUACUGAAGCAGGAUGCGAUGUGAGGAUGAGAGAAGACUAUCUCACAUUACAUGAUCGAGAAGGGAACUUGCUGGUGAAAGCAAUACGAUCGAGGAAUAGAUUAUACAAAGUGGCGUUGGAGGUUGAGAACACUAAGUGUCUGCAGAUCAUGACAUCCAAAGACUCAAGGUGGCAUGCCCGUCUAGGACAUAUCAGCACCGAAACCAUCCAGUCUAUGGCAGCAAAGGAACUAGUUAUCGGAAUAACUAAUCCGCCGAAAGAAAAGGAUACCUGUGCAUCAUGUCUACUUGGGAAGCAAGUAAGGAAAUCCUUCCCAAAACAAGCAACAUAUCGAGCAACAUAAGUUUUAGAACUCAUUCAUGGCGAUCUCUGUGGACCAAUCUCGCCCCCAACAGCUGCAAAAAGGAAGUACAUAUUUGUCUUAAUCGAUGACUUCUCACGAUAUAUGUGGUCGGUAUUACUAAAGGAGAAGAGCGAAGCAUUUGAGAAGUUCAAAGCUUUCAAAACUGCAGUCGAACUAGAAGCUGGAACAAGUAUCAAGACAUUCAGAACUGACCGAGGAGGGAAGUUCAUGUCUCAGGAGUUCCAAACAUACUGUGAAGAACAAGGUAUCAACAGACACCUAACAGCACCAUACACGCCUCAGCAGAACGGCGUCGUCGAAAGGCGGAGUAGGACUCUCUUAGAGAUGACUAGAAGUAUGUUAAAACAUAUGAACAUGCCUAACUACUUGUGGGGAGAAGCGGUGAGACACUCAACGUAUCUCAUAAAUAGAGUCGAGACCAGAUCGUUGCAAAAUCAAACACCAUAUGAAGCUUUCAAAUGCAGAAAACCAAAUGUGGAGCACCUACGAGUAUUUGGCUGCGUGAGCUAUGCAAAGAUUGAGGGUCCGUAUCUAAAAAAGUUAGACGACAGAUCGCAGAUGUUAGUAUAUCUUGGAACAGAACCCGGAUCUAAAGCCUAUCGCCUUCUCAAACCUACAAAACGCAGGAUUGUAGUUAGCAGAGAUGUUGUGUUCGAUGAGAAUAAGAGUUGGAAGUGGAACAACUCAGAUGCAGAUUUCCAGAAUGAAACAGGGACGUUCACAAUUAACUUUGGAAGAAGUGAGAACAUGAGAACAGAAGAGGAAGAAUCUAUCGAAGAAACAGAAGAGAAUGAAGGAGACAAAAGUAAUGAUAGAGACGAGUUUAACGAAACAGAGAAUGCAGAGCAAGAAGAUGCACAACCGGCCUUGAGAAGGUCAACAAGAACUAUUGUAAAGCCUCGACAUCUGGAGGACUUCGUAAUGCUAGCAGAGAUGGAAGGAGAAUAUCUCCUGCUAGUAAUCAAUGAGGAACCAUGGGACUUUCAAGAGGCAAGCAAGAUAAAAGAGUGGAAAGAAGCCUGUAAUGAAGAGAUUUCAUCAAUAAACAAAAACAGAACAUGGAGUCUUGUUGAUCUUCCAAGCGGAUGCAAAGCAAUUGGUCUUAAAUGGGUAUUUAAGAUCAAACGAAACUCAGAUGGCAGCAUAAAUAAGUACAAAGCCAGACUAGUAGCAAAAGGCUAUGUACAGAAACAUGGUGUCGACUUCGACGAGGUAUUUGCUCCGGUAGCAAGAAUAGAAACGGUUAGGUUUAUUCUUGCACUAGCUGCUUCAAACGGAUGGGAAGUGCAUCACUUGGAUGUUAAAACCGCGUUCCUUCACGGAGAAUUGAAAGAAGAUGUCUACGUCACCCAGCCAGAAGGUUUUCAAAUCAUUGGAAGCGAGUAGAAGGUCUAUAAGUUACACAAAGCCCUCUAUGGACUUAGACAGGCACCACGGCAUGGAACACCAAACUCAACAAAAUUCUAAGUGAGUUAGGCUUCAAAAGGUGUUCAAAGGAACCUUCUCUCUAUCGUAAACAAGAUAAGGAGUAUCUUCUUCUAGUGGCUGUAUAUGUAGACGAUUUGCUGGUCACUGGUUCAAGCUUGGAUCUAAUUAUCAAUUUCAAAAGGAAUAUGGCAGGGAAAUUUGAGAUGAGUGAUCUAGGGAAGCUUACAUACUACCUAGGAAUCGAAGUUCUUCAAGAUAAGAAAGGGAUCAUACUGAAGCAAGAAAGAUAUGCAAAGAAAAUCUUGGAAGAAGCAGGAAUGAAUGAAUGCAACUCAUGUCACAUACCGAUGGACUCUGGCCUAAAACUCUGCAAGUUCCAAGAGCAAAAGCACAUUGACGAACAUGAGUACAGAAGGAAGAUUGGAUGUUUCAUAUGUCUCUUGCACACUAGACCAGAUUUGUCUUUUGCAGUUGGAGUAUUAAGCAGAUACAUGCAGGAACCGAGGGAAUCACAUGGAGCUGCACUAAAACAGGUGUUAAGGUAUCUACAAGGAACAUUGUCUCACGGUCUCUAUUUCAAACGUGGAGGAGAUAAAGGCUUGGUAGGCUACAGUGACAGCAGUCACAAUGUAGACAUGGAUGAUGGGAAGAGUACAGGAGGUCACAUAUUCUAUCUUAAUGGCUGCCCAAUCUCAUGGUGCACGCAGAAGCAGGAAGUUGUGGCAUUGUCCUCUUGUGAAGCAGAAUUUAUGGCGGCUACUGAGGCAGCUAAGCAAGCUAUAUGGCUUCAAGAAUUGUUUGCAGAAGUUAUCGGAACAAAGUGUGAAAGAGUGACAGUUCGCGUGGACAACAAAUCAGCAAUUGCUCUUUCAAAAAAUCCAGUGUUUCAUGGACGCAGCAAGCAUAUUCACCGCAGGUACCAUUUCAUACGUGAGUGUGUUGAGAAUGACCAGAUCGAGGUUGAGCAUGUCCCUGGAAGUGAACAAAAGGCCGACAUCUUGACCAAAGCUUUGGGAAGAAAUAAGUUCAAAGAGAUGAGGGAGCUUAUAGGAGUGCAAGGAGUGUCACAAGAAGAUUUCAAGCUUAGAGGGGAGAUUGUUGAACUAAGCUUGAACAAAGCUUGAGAAACAAGUUUCCUAAAAGGAUUAGGAAAUAUAAUAUAUUUAGGAGAUAUCUAAAUAUACCUUAGGAGUCAUCUAUAAGAAGUUUUCUAUUUCUAUAAGGUUUAGGAAUUUGUAAGUCUUCUCUUCUAUAUAUAUGAAGUUACCAAAGUGUGGUAGACUCAUGAGAUUAUAGAGAGAGCUUUGAGGCUUUAAGUUUUUGAGUGAGUUUUCUUAAAGCAAUAAAAGGUGUUUUGGCAAUCUUAUAUUCUCAAAGAAGUUAGAGUUUAGAACUUUAUUUGGUAUCAGAGCAAACCGAGGAAACUCAAGAAGAACAGAGCAAGUUGAUGUAUGCAAAUACAGAAACUCAGCAAAACCGGAGUCAGAAUAAUGAAAAUAGAAACAGAGGUCGAGGAGGACGUUUCUAUAACAGAGGAAGAGGACGCGGAAGAUCAAACGAGAGAUCGUAUGAACCAAGAGACUUAUCAAAGGUUGUUUGCUAUCGGUGUGACAAGACAGGACAUUAUGCAGCGAGUUGCCCGGAUCGUCUACUUAAACUCCAGGAAACACAAGAAAACGAAGCAGAGGAUGAUACACAAAAGGCGGAAUCCCUUCUAAUGCACGAAAUUGUGUAUCUUAACGAAAAGAAUGUGAAACCAAAGGAGUUCGAGACACGAUCCGAUAGAGAGUGGUAUUUAGACAACGGUGCCAGUAACCACAUAACAGGAAAUCGAACCUGGUUCACAAAAAUCAACGAGAUGAUCACAGGGAAAGUACGAUUCGGAGAUGAUUCACGUAUAGACAUCAAAGGGAAGGGUUCGAUCCUGUUCAUGACAAAAAACGGUGAUAAGAAGAUACUAGCCUAUGUCUAUUAUAUACCAGAUCUCAAAAGCAACAUAAUAAGCUUAGGACAGGCUACUGCAGCAGGAUGCGAUGUGAGGAUGAGAGAAGACUAUCUCACAUUACAUGAUCGAGAAGGGAACUUGCUGGUGAAAGCAAUACGAUCGAGGAAUAGAUUAUACAAAGUGGCGUUGGAGGUUGAGAACACUAAGUGUCUGCAGAUCAUGGCAUCCAAAGACUCAAGGUGGCAUGCCCGUCUAAGGCAUAUCAGCACCGAAACCAUCCAGUCUAUGGCAGCAAAGGAACUAGUUAUCGGAAUAACUAAUCCGCCGAAAGAAAAGGAUACCUGUACAUCAUGUCUACUUGGGAAGCAAGUAACAAAAUCCUUCCCAAAACAAGAAACAUAUCGAGCAACAAAAGUUUUAGAACUCAUUCAUGGCGAUCUCUGUGGACCAAUCUCGCCCCCAACAGCUGCAAAAAGGAAGUACAUAUUUGUCUUAAUCGAUGACUUCUCACGAUAUAUGUGGUCGGUAUUACUAAAGGAGAAGAGCGAAGCAUUUGAGAAGUUCAAAGCUUUCAAAACUGCAGUCGAACUAGAAGCUGGAACAAGUAUCAAGACAUUCAGAACUGACCGAGGAGGGGAGUUCAUGUCUCAGGAGUUCCAAACAUACUGUGAAGAACAAGGUAUCAACAGACACCUAACAGCACCAUACACGCCUCAGCAGAACGGCGUCGUCGAAAGGCGGAAUAGGACUCUCUUAGAGAUGACUAAAAGUAUGUUAAAGCAUAUGAACAUGCCUAACUACUUGUGGGGAGAAGCGGUGAGACACUCAACGUAUCUCAUAAAUAGAGUCGAGACCAGAUCGUUCCAAAAUCAAACACCAUAUGAAGCUUUCAAAUGCAGAAACCAAAUGUGGAGCACCUACGAGUAUUUGGCUGCGUGAGCUAUGCAAAGAUUGAGGGUCCGUAUCUAAAAAAGUUAGACGACAGAUCGCAGAUGUUAGUAUAUCUUGGAACAGAACCCGGAUCUAAAGCCUAUCGCCUUCUCAAACCUACAAAACGCAGGAUUGUAGUUAGCAGAGAUGUUGUGUUCGAUGAGAAUAAGAGUUGGAAGUGGAACAACUCAGAUGCAGAUUUCCAGAAUGAAACAGGGACGUUCACAAUUAACUUUGGAAGAAGUGAGAACAUGAGAACAGAAGAGGAAGAAUCUAUCGAAGAAACAGAAGAGAAUGAAGGAGACAACAGUAAUGAUAGAGACGAGUUUAACGAAACAGAGAAUGCAGAGCAAGAAGAUGCACAACCGGCCUUGAGAAGGUCAACAAGAACUAUUGUAAAGCCUCGACAUCUGGAGGACUUCGUAAUGCUAGCAGAGAUGGAAGGAGAAUAUCUCCUGCUAGUAAUCAAUGAGGAACCAUGGGACUUUCAAGAGGCAAGCAAGAUAAAAGAGUGGAAAGAAGCCUGUAAUGAAGAGAUUUCAUCAAUAAACAAAAACAGAACAUGGAGUCUUGUUGAUCUUCCAAGCGGAUGCAAAGCAAUUGGUCUUAAAUGGGUAUUUAAGAUCAAACGAAACUCAGAUGGCAGCAUAAAUAAGUACAAAGCCAGACUAGUAGCAAAAGGCUAUGUACAGAAACAUGGUGUCGACUUCGACGAGGUAUUUGCUCCGGUAGCAAGAAUAGAAACGGUUAGGUUUAUUCUUGCACUAGCUGCUUCAAACGGAUGGGAAGUGCAUCACUUGGAUGUUAAAAUCGCGUUCCUUCACGGCGAAUUGAAAGAAGAUGUCUACGUCACCCAGCCAGAAGGUUUUCAAAUCAUUGGAAGCGAGUAGAAGGUCUAUAAGUUACACAAAGCCCUCUAUGGACUUAGACAGGCACCACGGGCAUGGAACACCAAACUCAACAAAAUUCUAAGUGAGUUAGGCUUCAAAAGGUGUUCAAAGGAACCUUCUCUCUAUCGUAAACAAGAUAAGGAGUAUCUUCUUCUAGUGGCUGUAUAUGUAGACGAUUUGCUGGUCACUGGUUCAAGCUUGGAUCUAAUUCUCAAUUUCAAAAGGAAUAUGGCAGGGAAAUUUGAGAUGAGUGAUCUAGGGAAGCUUACAUACUACCUAGGAAUCGAAGUUCUUCAAGAUAAGAAAGGGAUCAUACUGAAGCAAGAAAGAUAUGCAAAGAAAAUCUUGGAAGAAGCAGGAAUGAAUGAAUGCAACUCAUGUCACAUACCGAUGGACUCUGGCCUAAAACUCUGCAAGUCCCAAGAGCAAAAGCACAUUGACGAACAUGAGUACAGAAGGAAGAUUGGAUGUUUCAUAUAUCUCUUGCACACUAGACCAGAUUUGUCUUUUGCAGUUGGAGUAUUAAGUAGAUACAUGCAGGAACCGAGGGAAUCACAUGGAGCUGCACUAAAACAGGUGUUAAGGUAUCUACAAGGAACAUUGUCUCACGGUCUCUAUUUCAAACGUGGAGGAGAUAAAGGCUUGGUAGGCUACAGUGACAGCAGUCACAAUGUAGACAUGGAUGAUGGGAAGAGUACAGGAGGUCACAUAUUCUAUCUUAAUGGCUGCCCAAUCUCAUGGUGCACGCAGAAGCAGGAAGUUGUGGCAUUGUCCUCUUGUGAAGCAGAAUUUAUGGCGGCUACUGAGGCAGCUAAGCAAGCUAUAUGGCUUCAAGAAUUGUUUGCAGAAGUUAUCGGAACAAAGUGUGAAAGAGUGACAGUUCGCGUGGACAACAAAUCAGCAAUUGCUCUUUCAAAAAAUCCAGUGUUUCAUGGACGCAGCAAGCAUAUUCACCGCAGGUACCAUUUCAUACGUGAGUGUGAUGAGAAUGACCAGAUCGAGGUUGAGCAUGUCCCUGGAAGUGAACAAAAGGCCGACAUCUUGACCAAAGCUUUGGGAAGAAAUAAGUUCAAAGAGAUGAGGGAGCUUAUAGGAGUGCAAGGAGUGUCACAAGAAGAUUUCAAGCUUAGAGGGGAGAUUGUUGAACUAAGCUUGAACAAAGCUUGAGAAACAAGUUUCCUAAAAGGAUUAGGAAAAUUUAAUAUAUUUAGGAGAUAUCUAAAUAUACCUUAGGAGUCAUCUAUAAGAAGUUUUCUAUUUCUAUAAGGUUUAGGAAUUUGUAAGUCUUCUCUUCUAUAUAUAUGAAGUUACCAAAGUGUGGUAGACUCAUGAGAUUAUAGAGAGAGCUUUGAGGCUUUAAGUUUUUGAGUGAGUUUUCUUAAAGCAAUAAAAGGUGUUUUGGCAAUCUUAUAUUCUCAAAGAAGUUAGGGUUUAGAACUUUAUCCUUCUCUAUCAUCUUUUACUAUCAUAUUGUGGAGUAUGAUACAAGCUCUUAUAAUCUUUCCGAUUUUUUCUUUAUCCCAAAACAAAGCCGGAUUUUUGACAAUGGCAAAUCGAGAUUGCAAGACUCCAAAAGCACGCUCGACAUCUUUUCGAUAACCUUCUUGACGUUCAGCAAAUAAACAUGCUUUUUCGCCUUGUGGUAGUGGAAUAGAUUGGAAAAAAGCUGCCCAUUUUGGAUAUAUACCAUCAGUUAGAUAGUAUGCCAGAUGAUACUCCUUUCAAUUGACAAAGAAAUUAACUUUCGGAGCUCGACCUUUUAUAAUGUCAUCAAAAACGGGUGAGCGAUCCAAAACAUUAAGAUCAUUAAGGGUACUUGGCGGUCCAAAAAACGCAUGCCAAAUCCAGAGAUCGUAUGAAGCAACCGCUUCUAAGACUAUUGUCGGUUUUCCAGCACCUCGUACAUACUGGCCUUUCCAAGCGGUUGGACAAUUCUUUCAUUCCCAAUGCAUACAAUCUAUGCUUCCUAUCAUCCCAGGAAAUCCGCGUUCCUCUCCAAAAUAAAGUAGACGUUGAAGAUCUUCUGCCGUGGGUCUUCUGAGGUACUCAUCGCCAAAGAGAUUUAUAAUUCCUUCAACAAAAUUUUCCAGACAUGAACGAGCUGUACUUGCACCUAGUCGUAGGUAUUCGUCAACGGUAUCAAGUGCCGUGCCAUAAGCUAAGAGACGAAUUGCGGCUGUACACUUCUGAAGUGCAGAUAGACCAAGUCUACCCCGGGCAUCUUUUCUCUGUUUAAAGAAACUGACUUCGUUGGAGAGCCGAUGAACAAUACGCAAGAACAAUGCCUUGUUCAUUCUAAAACGUCGUCGGAAAAGGUGGUCGGGAUAAAUUGCGUUUUCGCUGAAGUAAUCAUUUCAUAAUCUUAUGUGGCCUUCUUCUCGAUUUCUUUCUAUAAAAGCUCGUUUCCCGAACAAGUAUUGUUUCCAUCUCCAUUUCCCUCUGCAUUUGCAUCCUCCGUCUUCCUCCUUUUACAGCUGCCAUCGGUUUUACUGGUUGACAAAUCACACCACUUUUGGUCGUUCUUCAGUUCCUUCCAAGCGUAUUCGAGAGUGAAUUUCUUCUUAUGGAGAUUGAAGAAAAUAGCAUGCGCAUUUUUGAAAAUGUCAUUCUCGUUUUGACCACUUGUUCUUUCUCUUGUUGCAGCCUCAUAAGCCCCACAGAACUUGCACACAAGAUCAUUAAUCUUGUGCCAUCUUUGUUUGCACUGCCCAGACUCUCGGAUUUCUCCUCCCUUUUGAUUCGCCGCAAAGUACAAAGCAAUGCGACGCCAAAAAGUGCCACUUUUGUUCAUUUCCUACAACCGGGUCCUUCGAGGUGUUCAACCACGAGCUGAUGAGCAGGGUAUCUUCCGCAGGACUCCACGGUUGUCUAAUCACCUUGCUCGUCACUCCAACCUCUUCUACUUCUUCGGUAGAAGCUUGGGUACCGAAGGCAUGGUUUUCGAAGGAAAGGUAUGGAUUUGGGUAAGGUGACACACUCUCUUGUUGACUUUGUAAAAGAUCAACAAAGUUUAAGGUGUUGUUAAAGGGAAAUGGAGAAGACAUCCUUGGACAAAAGAAGAGAAGACAAGAAGGAUUGCAACUGAUACGAGAAGAGAUGAAAGAAGAGAAAACUAUAUUUUUUGGAAGUGAUACGAGAAGAUAAGAAAGAAGAGAUGAGCUUAAAAAAGUGUCCGAGUUCAAAGAGAUGAGAAAGAGAGUGCUUUAUACUAGCAUGAAAGAAGAGGGAACAAAAGUGUCCGAGUUCAAAAAAUAAACAUUAACUACACCCUAAACACAAGCAUUCAACCCAACCUAACACAAUAUGCAUUGAUCACAAGCAGAAGAGACUUGACACAUAUCUAACUUUAACAUUAACUAAUCCCCUAUUCCAUUUAUUAUCUAACACGACUUAAACCCACAUCAAAAUAGCAUUUACUACAAGUAACUAGGAAGUGAUUGAAGCUAACCUUUUUAGGCGGGUGAUGAUAUCCUAAACCGCUUUGCUUCUUCUCUCCUCUUCAUGUCAUUCCAUCUCCAUUUACUCCUUGUGCAGAGAACAAAAACAACAGUAAAUAUGAGUUAGUUGAACAUCAACUAUACACACAAGAGUUAAUGAACUACAACUACACAAACAAGACAAGUAAUACACACUCAGAGUUAAUGAACUUCAACUACAAACCAAAGAAUAAACUUUAAACCCAUUCACAAACUCAUACAAACUCAUCGCCACAAUGAGCAAAACAAAAUUAUCGAUACUUAAAGAUCAAAACAAAGUCAUCUAUCAUUCGUCGAUCAAAACAAACUAAAAAUUGUACCCAAUCAUCGUAAACCCUAAACGAAAUCAGAAGACAAAAGACAAAACCAUUAAUCAGCCAAGACAAAUCAUUUGUCGAAACCAUUUCAUCCGAUCAUCAAAAACCUAAAUCAGCAUACAUAUCCAAGCACAACCAAUCAUCGCUACCUCUGAACCCUUUCAGUAAACCAUUUCAUCCGAGAUAUUCAAUCUAAACCCAAAAAUCAGAACAAUUUCAAUCGAUUCUUCGUUUACCUUCUCCAACGGUUCCAUGGAUCCAGAAGCUUCAAGCCUUCACAACUCCUCGAUUCCGCCAAUCAGCUGUUCAGAAGACAUCGCCGCCACCGUCUGAAAAUUGCUGACAAAGAAUUCCGAUGAAUUGACGACUUGCGAUUCGACGGAGAUAACGAAGAAAGAAGAGAGGAAAAUGGUUUUUGGGAGAUGAAAAAUUGUUUGAGGACCCAAAAAAAAAUUUCUCUUCUCCAUUUUUUUAGUCCAAUGAUUUUUCGCCAUGUGUGUGUAGAGAAAUGUUUCUCUCAGAUCCAAUUUAGGCGACGUCUCUCUCCCUUUUUAUUGUUUUUGAUUUAUUUAAUUAAGCGAAAUUAGGUAGAGACGGGUUAAAUACCCCAUUGCACAUGCUCUAAGAUAACACAUCUUUCUCCAAUACGGGUGGUUAGGAGAUUUUCCAAAGGAAAAAAUAAAUAAAAAUUGCUUACGAAAGACUUUGACUAUUCUAAUAUCCGACCAUAGAUUUUACGUGUGAAGACUUUGCUUAAACUUAUUUCAAGUCGACUAAAGUCCUAUCUUCUGCUCUUAUGUUCUUCGUUUGGCGCUUGUAGCUGUCAAUUUGUUAGCCAUGUUGGCUUUGUUAUUGUUUGUAAACAAUUCCUCCUCUAAUGGAGCGUAGCUAAUCUAUAAAAUCUCAUUUGAGCAAAAAAAAAAUUAAAAGGAAACCAAAGUCUAAGGUUACAGAAACUUGAAUUGGUGAAUUAGUGGAGAUGAUUAUGUAAUGAAAUCCUAAACGAUUAUUGUGUUGUGCCCAUUCUAUUUCUUCGUUAGUCUCUCUGAAGUAGAAGAACAUACCUUCGAUUAAGACAUUGCCUGUUUAUGAUUUCACUUGGAUUCAUGUUUCUUUUUUAGCACUCUAUUGAGGAUUUCUUAUGUGCUACUUGGAACAAGUAUAGGUUUUAAUUCUUUAAGUUGCUCAUUAAUGGAAUUUUAGUGAGUGUAGAGAUUUUGAGUUCACUAAUUCGUAAAAGAAACGCUUGACAAAAGUGAGGAAGACGGAUUCGUAAAAGAAAAAGAUUGAGUUUGCCACAAACUACUCCACAAGAUUGAUCCCUAUAGCUAAUUCAAAUAGUAUUUGGAGACAAACUAUGUGUAAGACCGCGAAAAUCCGAUUGAAAUCACGAAUAGAAAAUAGCAAUAUUAUAAACGAUAUGUUAAGGUAAGAGAUUAAAACGAGAGUUAGAAAACCGAUUGAAAACAGACGAAAACACGGAGUCGAGAUAUGAUCUCUUUCCUUAACUCAAUAAAUCGCCCGUAAUGUGUGACGGUUUAUUGCGAUUUUUGAAUCCCAGGAUACAACCGUGAUGAGACUAUUACGCAACACCCGUAAAAGAAUCUGCGAACUGAAAUUAUACUACGCUAUAGCUCUCGAGACACUUACGAUAUUAAGACGAGAGGGUUGCUGGAAAGAAUUAUUUGCUGUGUGUUUGGAGUAUUCGAGAAUUCGAUUAUAAUUCGAUGAUCUAGAAUGAGAGAAGAUGGCGUCUAUUUAUACUGGAAGGUUCAGCUUGAUCCGCAAGGAAUAAGCUUUGGCGAAAAGGAAUAUUCACAAAAUAUUCUCCUUUUUCUGCAAGUAAAAGGAUUCGGAAAUCUUCCGUUAUUAUCUGGACGCAAUCUUUUAUUUCUUAAGAUUUAUCCUUUCAAUAUGCAAAAAAAUAUUUCGCAGGAACUAAGAUGCCCACGACCCACACCCAGCUAAAUAGAGCCCAAGAGCCAACUAAAAAAUGCAAUGAGCAACGAGCAACGAGCCCGGCACCGGCAACGGCGGCGGCGCGCGUAGGUGUUUUUGCAUAAUGCCCUUUUACUUCCACAAUGAUGCUGACCCUUAUUGUGAGAAAACCAUAUAUAUACAAGAGAUUUUUCUCCUUGGUGAGCAAUGUGGGACAAAUACACUUCCACUAAACUUCUACUUUUAGUUAAAAUUAAUAGGAAUAUUUCAUUUCUAUAGGCUCAAACCCAAAUCUUAAAUGAAUUUAUAAGGCCCAUUUGCUUAUUAAACUUCAUUUCUUAUUCAUACACAAACUCAAUAUUACAAGUCCAAAUGCUUAUCUAUAUUAGUAUUUGUGAAGUGAUUCGGGCUGUGAUUUAACGCACAGAUUUCUGUGUCGUUUUGAUUAAUGAAAUUAUGAGGAUUUGAUUGGUUGAUAAUUGUUAUAAUUUGAUUGGUUGAAUUAGUUAAUUUUAAAUCAUUAAAAUCGAUAUUAGUUGCUAAAAAAUGGAAAACUUCUUUAAUUCAAGUAGGAUUUGAUUGGUUGAUAAUUGUUAUAAUUUGAUUGGUUGAAUUAGUUAACUUUAAAUCAUUAAAAUCGAUAUUAGUUGCUAAAAAAUGGAAAACUUCUUUAAUCAAAUCCUCAAAAAAAUUUCAAACCCAAAAAACAUAUACAUACCUUCCAAUACGUCAUUUGUGCUGAUUGAGAUGGUAGUGUGUUGGUUAAGUGCUUUGUCCAUUUAUCGAAGGUUCACGGGUUCGAAUCCUGUAAUUAGUGUUUUUUUUUUUAAUUCUAUUUUUGGAAAUAUUUUAUAUUUAUUAAAUAUUUUGUAAAAGGGAAUAUUCCAUAAUUUCUUUGUUAUUAUCUACAAUGGAAUCUUUACAUUUUUAUUAUAGAUAGCUACGAAAUUCAUGGGAAGAUAAUAUCGCAUGUAGAUCAAUAAUUACAUUUUAGUAUUUUUCACAAGAAAAUAAACCCUAGGUUGUUUAGACGUAUAAAUAUGAGCGUUUUCAACCAAGCUUCUCAUAAUUAACGCAUUAGUUUUUCUAUUAGGGUUCUGUGAUUAUUUUGCUAGGUUUUUUAUUAUAGCAUUAACUUUUUGGAUCUCUUUAGAAAAGAUUCAGCAUGUUUGUCUAUUUGCAUGCAAAGCUAACAAUGUGUUCCUCUAAGUACAGCUUUGAUCAUCCAUCUAAAGUCAGAAUCACUUGGGAAGUUCCGUCUACCGAUUCUGGUAUAUAUGUAUAACUAUUAUCAAAUUUAAUAAUAGUAUGUAUGCUCUCAAUUUUUUUAGAUGAAUUCUAAAAAUUUAUACGACUAUAGGUUUUGAUAACCAGGCUUAUGCUCGCGGGUUAAAGUCUGUGUUGAAAUCGCAUCGUCAGAAUAUGGAUAACAAAGACAUGACUGAUUAUCGUUACGUGACUCCAUAUGUUUUCGUGGAUAUCACCAAAAAAAAAGGUUGUUGAACCUCUUUAGUUUAUUCAUUCAAUUUAUAAUACUUAUUAGUAGUUGUUUGUAUUUGUAGGUUAUCCAUGCAAGCUACUUAUCGAUUCUGCUAUCGAUGAAUGGACCUUGCGGACAUAUAAUCCUGUUAUCGAAGGUAGUCCUAUCUAUUAAUCUUACAGUUUUUACCUUUUGUAAUGCUAUAUCUUAGCCUUUCAGAUGCAUACCCUUAUUAUAUAUUAGUCUAUGAACGUUUUCAAUUUUUAUGUAGAUAUUGAUUCUUCGUAUCAUAUAUCUAUUCUUGAUCACGAGCUUUUUAUCAAAGGAGGUAUUUCCGCUCUUAAUGUAAUAUAUUUUUGUUAAUGGUGUAUAUUAAGUCUUUAUGUUUGCUCUAAUGUUUGUUUUGUGUAUUUAGUUUCUGAUCGUGUUAAUACGAGUGAUCAUGCUCAGAAGACUUUUCUAUGGGAUUUUGCGAGGAAUGCUUGGGUUAUGAAUAAAGAAUCUAAUGGUUUCAAUUCUUUUUUUUUGUUUUGAACACUGUUUUUUAUGUUUUUUUAGAAUACUAAUUACAUCGUUUUUACAUAUAUUUAUCUAUGCAGAAGAUAGUGACUCUGAUGAUACUGAGGUUUCAUCGGGUCGUGGUAUUGAUGAUGAUUAUGGUUUUGAGGAUUAUAUGAGGUCUGAUUCAGAGACGGGUGAAGAUACUGAUGAUAUGGACCCAACAGAUGAGUAUGAUUCUGAGGAUGAUUUUAUUGACGAUGAUGAGACUUGUGAAGAAUCUGAUGGUUCAAGUGAUAGCUCAGAAGAUGAUAGCGGUGAUGACGAAGAUGAAGAUGACGACGAUGCCGAUUCAACUGAUGAUAAUGAAAAUGAUGAUGAAGAUGUUAUGUUGGAUGAUGAGACUGAUAUUGACGAUGAUAGUGAAGAUCAGCGAAACGUCGAACUGAGUGAUAUACUCAUCGAAAAGAAUAUUAGUAUAUCUGGACACCAGGAUUCGGUGUGUACUUAUACAGUUUCUCUUGGUUCAAUGUGUUUUGGUAAGUGUGUUUCACGUUUGAGUCCUUCCAAAGAUGAUUGUACUAUCUUUGUUAAGGUUUUACAAACGUGGGUGCAUAUGCUAAUUUCGAAACGUUCUUCUAUGGAGCUCAUAUUGUCAGAUGAACAGGUAUUUAUUGUACUAUUACACAAAAGUAUUAUAAAUUUUAGUCGGUGUCUAAUUGACUGUUUUAUUCACAGGGUGUAAAAAUUCAGGCCACUGUUAGUGAUGGUGAGAUCAGUGUUGCAUCGUCUCGCAUAGAUGUUGGUAGUUGGAUUAUUAUCAGUCGUUUUUCUGUUACUGAUUGUGAGGAUAGUUGUAGACCGACUUCUCAUAGAUACAAAAUAUUGUUCCUACCAUCAACUAUCAUUGACAAGACUUCACGUAGAUGUGAAAAUGCCUAUUUUGACUUCGUUGAUUUUCAAAGGAUAUUGGAUCGUUCCCAUGAUGAUGACUAUUUAGUUGGUGUGUUUAUUUUUGAUUUAGUUAUUGAAUUUCUUUAUUGUUAUCUUACUGAUGCUAACAUUGUUUAAUUUUUGUUGUCUAUGAAGAUUUGAUAGGUCGUGUCUUAAAUGUAAGACUAUCUGGAACGUCCCGUGGUUUACUGACUGGAGAGCAUUCUUUUCAUUCAUAUGGCAGUCUAUGUAAUGAUAUAUGUGAUUCCGAGAUAUGGGGUUCAUAUUCAACCGUCACGUUCUGUCUUAGAGAUAAACGGUAUUGUCUGCUGAAUGUUUUAAACUGUAUAAUGUCGUUUUAAUUAUUCUAUCCAUCUGAAUAUGUGUGGCAUGUUUUAAUUUAGUGGUGUUGAUUUGAGUUGUGAAUUGUUCGGUGAGAUGGCGAAAAACUUUUAUGCAUCUUGGAGACGAUGUGAUCAAGAUAUCAUUGUGUGUGUGCUUAGAUGGGCUGUUAUUGAUUAUUUUGGAGGUAUUUUUAGUAUACUAAUUUAUAUUCUCUAUGUUCGUUUCAUUUUAUUGUUUUGACUCUGUAUUUGGUUUAUCAAUAUAGGCAAGAUCACUAUAUCUUCCACAUCUCCUACUAAGUUCGAACUCAAUCCCCAUAUUCCUGAGUUAGAUGAGUUUUUGGAACAGUGAGUUUCUAAUACUUAAUGUUUGUAUUUUGACUUUUUGGUAUUAAUUUGUGGUCGCCUUCUCUCUCUCUCAAGUCUUUUUUAUAACAAUGCAGAUAUCCGCGUAAGAGGCCAUGCACGCGUGGUAGUGUGGCACGUCUACAAUGAAUAAUGUUAUGACGUCUACAUUGAAUAUCAUUUUUACCAUGUAUACAAAUUAUAGUUUAAUUAUUCUUUGUUCUUCAGACCUCUUUAUUUCAAUCAAUAAAUAUAUUUUUUUAAUGAAAUUAUUAUUGUUGUUUGAUAUUGAAGUAUAUAGAGCGGAGAAAAUAAUAUAAGUUAUAUAUUCACAUAAAUAACGCAUGCUUUUAUUGGUUUCUUGGACUCCAAGUAACUCAUAUUUAUAAAUAUUUAAGAAGAUUUGAAUAUAUCCCCGAUCAUAUCAUAACUUUUAGUUUUUUCCAUUUAGUGUUUAUGAGAAUCAUGGUGUUUGAAUGGAUUGUUUUAUUGAUUUCUUGGACUCCAAGUAAUUUAUAUUUAUAAAUAUCUAAUAGGAUUCGAAUAUAUCCCCGAUCAUUCCACAAUUUUUGUUUUUUUUUUCAUUUAGUAGCUAUGGAAAUCUUGGUGUUUGAAUGAAUUGAUUAAUUAGUUAUUAAAAAGGAAAAACUCGGUAGUUGAGAUGUUAGUUAUUAAAAAGGAAAAACUCGGUAGUUGAGAGGUGUGUAUAAAAUGUAAAUAAAGGAAAACAUUCUAAGAAACCCUAGAAAAAAAAUAAAUAACGCGUAAACCACAUAACUCUUAUAUCUCUAUAUAUAUGCAUAUAUUUCGGUAUAGGUAUAUAUAUGCGUCUAUCGCGACUUCACGGGUUAUCAGCCUGCAUUGUUAGAAUUGUUUGCAUUCGGGUUCUUCGAUGAAAGCGUUUGGUAAAUGAGUUUUGUAUUACGUUUUUGAGGAUGUCACUAAUCGUUAAUUUUCUUUACGGUAUUUUAUUAAUUGUUCUUAUUGUAUAUAUGAUUGUUGUUCUAUUGUACAUGUCUAGGUGCUCACAAGCGACCACGUGUUAAUUGGCAAGUUAUGCCGUUUCAUCUCCCGGGGGAAAAUAUUGUGUUUUCUAAUAAUUUAGAUAGACGUGUUCCUGCUAAAAAACCUAAAUUCCUUGCUUGGUUUAGGUGUAAUCAGUCUUAUCCAGAGGCAAUGAAUCUUUUAUACUCGGAGAUUCCUUCUACGUUUGUAUGGGAUCGUAAAAAUAGGACAUGGAGGCCAAGACUAAAAGGAAAUUCUGGUGCUUGUGUUGUGGACGAAUCACCGACUGAGUAUGGAGAAGAGUAUUAUCUGAGACUAUUAUUGGACAUAGUUAGGGGUCCAUGUAGUUUUGAUGAUAUUAGGACUGUUGGUGGAGUCGUUUAUCCUUCGUUUAGAAGUGCAUACCAUGCAUUAGGGUUUGUUGGUUGAUUAUCAGAAGUCAGUAAUUUUUUACCAUGUUUUUUUUUUAGUUUCUUUAUCGUGGUAUACUUAUCUCUUAUUUUAGCAAAAGCAAUAUAUAAUAAAUGAUAUUAGAAUAAUUAUAUAUAUCAGUUUUGUUAUAAUAAUAAAGUUUAAUUAUAACAUAUUAUUAUUCCGCUUAGGGUUUAGGGUUUAGCCGUGCGGAAUAAUAAUAAAGCUUACACAGAACAUGCGACUUAUAUCUGGAGAUAAUAGCCGUGCGAUGCUUGAACGAGCUGCCUUUACAAAGUGGAUCUUAGACAUUGGUGAUGGUACGAUAAAUGACGAUGGUAGUGGUGAAGCUGUGAUUGAAAUUCCUGAUGAUCUGUUGAUUAAAGACUGUAAAGAUCCUAUAAAAACGAUCGUCAAAGAAGUUUAUGGGAGUUCAUUUUCGAAAAAGACUGAUCCUAAAUUUUUCCAAGACCGUGCCAUACUGAGUCAAAGAAACGAUGAUGUAGAUACGAUAAAUGAUUAUAUGCUUUCAAAGUUAUCGGGUAUGUUUAUUUUGUUUUAAUUCCUCUUAGUUUAUUUUUUUAUAUUUAUAUAAUACGACGGUUGUUUUGUAUAUAACAGGUGUUGAAAGGACCUAUCUUAGCUGUGAUAGCAUUGAUACAACUGAAGAAGUUGUCAAUUACAAUGAUGCAUCUGAAGUACCCUCAGAGAGUGUAGCCAGUAAGAAUAAAGGUGAUUCCAACAACAUGAUUUAUACCGAGGAGUUUUUAAAUAGUAUCAAGAUGUCUGGUUUCCCUAAUCAUGUCCUGAAGUUGAAAGAGGGUACUCCUGUAAUGCUUCUAAGAAAUAUCGACCCUAAGAAUGGGUUGUGUAAUGGCACAAGACUCAUCAUUAUUAAGAUGGCUAAUUAUGUUCUCCAGGCUCAGAUAAUAACAGGUAGCAAGGUUGGUGAAAAGGUACUGAUUCCUAGGAUAUUCCUCUCUCCUUCGGAGAUGAAACUUCCUUUCAGGAUGAGACGCAAGCAGUUUCCUAUCACAUUAGCUUUUGCAAUGACUAUAAACAAAAGCCAAGGACAGACACUCGAAAAGGUUGGUUUGUAUCUUCCAAGACCGGUUUUUACUCAUGGGCAACUCUAUGUCGCUGUAUCGAGGGUUACAUCAAGAGAAGGUCUGAAGAUAUUGAUCACCGAUAAAGACAACAAACCACAAAACAAAACAUUGAAUGUCGUCUACAAGGAGGUUUUUGACAAGAUAUGAUAUUUCUUUUUACUGUGUUUUGUUUUGUGAUAUGUUGUCUCUAUGUAUCUCGAAAUAUGUUAGUUCUUUUUAUUGUAUAAGACCAUUACAUUCGGUUUUAUAGUUUUUAAUAGAUUUUACUUUUUUCGAUUUUUCACUAAAUUGGAUCUCAUGUAUUAAUGGUUUGAUCUCUGAUUUUUAACUAUAGUCGGAUAAUCCAGUGACAAACUCUAUUCGAUAACAUAUUUUGACCAAAGUUUAAUUGUAGUAUAUUAUUGGGCAUCUAUUAACAUUUCAUCGAGAAUGCUUCAAAACCAAAUUAUCAUGUCAUCGAAAUAAACUUAAUAUUUUUUAGAAAAUAAAACCAAGUACAUAAUAGUGUCUUUAAAGUGAUCAUUACAAACAGAAAAAAAAAAACAUGAAUUUCGUUUCAAACUGAUAUUCUUCUUGAUUAAACUCCAGAUCUCCUCUUUUUUCGUUCCUUCUCCUUUCCCUUUAAACACAGACACAAACAAUCCGAUUUAGAUUUUUGUAAAACUAUAUAGCUUUGAACUAACUCAAUAUUAUAUCUAAAUAUGGAUUGUUUCUACAAUAUAGAUUUCAAUGGGCAAUCAAUAACAAACUAUAACGACUCAAUAACAUAGAUUUUAGACAAUUUUUCAUAAUUUAGAUCUAAAUAUAUUUCUGAUCACGUACCCAUUCGGCGGUAUCCAUGUGUCGAAUUUCUGUCUCCACAAAACCGCAACGCAUGCACUUCAACCCUAUCUCCAGAUCUAGAAUCAGGUCGUGUUUUCGUUUUGUGCAACUUGAUUGGGGUGUCUCAUUAGAUGUGUUGCCUUUGUCAUCCUCCAUAAGUUGUAGAAUAUACAGAUUUUAUUAUUCAUUGUGUAAGACAUGAUUAAAACAAACUUUAGUGAAUAGGAUGUAUUACCUGAGGAAUGUUCUGUUUGCCUUUCUGAUUUGAUGCGGUGAAUAAGUGUAUUUGUUCCCAUAAUUCUUCUUGCUCUAUCUCGGAAUCUGUUGGUGAAGGUGGUGAGUUUGGUUCCACGACACCAAAUCUCAUUACCAAUGGUGGGGGAUUGAUGAUCAACAAGCCAUUUUCAUCAAAUUUUUUUUCGUUUGUGUUCGCCAUCUUCUUAUGAAUUCUCUCAGAAACGAUAAUGGUACUUGAAAAAUAUUUUAAAGUUUUUUGAAAAAAAAACCAUCAAGUCAGUAUUUAUAAGGUGUGCAAUAAUAAUCAAUUUUCACGUUUUUCAAUUUUUUUAUGGGGAAGAUUAUGCGACUUUAUGUUUGCAACUAACUGUUUGACUUUCCAAGUUUCCUAUUUCAUAUAAUUUUAAGGAAAAAUGUUCAAUUAGAUACAUAAAGUUAUAACGUAAAAGUCUACAUAAAUGGCAUUUUUUGUUACGAUGUUGUAUGAAUAUGUCAUCUCCUAAAAUAUUGAAACAUAAAAUUGUCCAAAUAACAUAAGCCAUAGAGAGAGAUCAUAUUAUUUUAUGGAAAGUGUUGCAAUUUAGCAAAAGUUUAUAUUUAGUAAAAUAGUAUAUUUAAUUAUUGAGAUUGCGUGUAUAUUUGGUAAAACUUAAAACAUGGAAUAUAUUCUCUUACCAGGCACGUGAAACGAACAAAUCGGUCAAUCAAUAUGGAAGUGCCUUGACAUAAAUUAGUGGAUUGUUGUUGGUUUUGACAGUAAAGUGGCUUUAAAUGGUAACUGUUCAAAUUUUUUCUUUUAAAAUAAUUCAAACGAAAAUAAAUUUCUAAGAAAGAAAGAUAAUUCAGACAAAACCACAUCGGGCAAAGUAAGAUAAUUAUUUUGACAUUAACCCUACUCCCUUAAUAUAGUUUUUUGUGAUACUAUAUUGUUUACAUAUAUGCUUAAAUAUUAAUUUCAGGCUUGGGUGAAGAUAUGAAACGAUGUGCAUGAUUAUGAUUUAGCUAAUGUAAAUUUUCAUUGCAAUAAAUUGUCAUUUAACAUAUAUAGAUGGUUUUAUAGUAAACUAUCUUUAUAAUUGUUAACAACGAGAAUUGGAAUAUUAACAUAAUUUAAAAUAGAAAAAUCUCAAUAUAUAUAUAUAUAUCUAUUUAUUUUACUCGAAGAUAAUAUUGUUUAUUUAUCUAUAUUUAUCCUGAAAUGUUAAUAUUCUUAAAUUUUGGUUAUAUAUUAAUAUAAAAUCACAUUUUUUCUUAUAAAUAUGCUCUAAAUUGCAUAACCCUAAACGAUAGGCAUCACGCAAUGGCGGAUUAUGAUUUUGUUCGUCAAUUGGACUCUCAAAUGUCUGACUGGAUAAUUAUAGUGAAAAUACUCAAAAAAUGGGUGGUGGAUUACUCGGACGAUAAUCGAAGUCUAAAUUUCAUUCUGGUCGAUGAAAAAGUAAAUUUCAUUAACUUAACAUGUUAUUUGUGAUAAUUAUUAUUGAUUUUGCUUAUUGUUUUAACAUACAAUAAUUUGUUCUUUUGUUGAUCUAAUGUUAUCGUAUAAACUUCUAGGGUUGUAGAAUACAGGCUCGGGUAAACAAUCAGAUGAUGGAGCAUUUCAAUCAAAUAUGCGAAGAAGAUCAAUGGUUUAUGUUGACUGGAUUUCUUUUAAAUCCUUACAACUGGACUAAUAUCCAAAGUAUUACAAAACACGAUUACGUUAUUACACUUACACGGGGAACAACGAUAUCACCAGCUUUACCAUUAACAAAUAAUUCGUUCUAUAAUUUUGCAUCGUUCCUCUCGAUUUAUGAAUUCCCAGAUGCUCAUUAUUAUCUAAUUGGUAAGAUUAUUUUGGUAUCUUCUUAUAAUGCAAAAUAUAUAGUUCGCACUAAUGUCUUAAUUUUGACUAAUUACAAUCGCAGAUUUGAUUGGAGUCGUUGAAGAUGCUAGAUAUUUUACUAUUACAUACCCGGAUGGGACGACUACAUCAUCAAUUCGAUUUAAUAUAAUAGAUGAUGAGUAAGUAUAUCCCAAACUGUAAAUUUUUGAAGUUUAGCUAAUUAAUUAUUAACUACAUUCUUUGUCAAAAUAUAGGGAGUACAUGCUAGAGUGUGUUGCACAUGGUGAGUUGGCAACUGAAAUAAGAGAUAAGUGUAGAGAAUACGAAGGUCCCUUUGCUAUAUGUGUGUCAACCGAUUGGUGUGUAGCAAUUGACGGGGGUAUGUUCUCUGAUGAUACAUCAAUAUGUUAUUUAUAAAAUCGUUGUAUAUAACAUAACAAUAUUCCAAUAUAUAUGUUUUAGAGAAUGUGUCUAUCAAGGAUCAUGAUGAUGAUGGUGUGUCCCGUUUUAUCACUGAUUCACCUAUUAAUGAGGUUUUGACCUUGCGCAAUAGGUAAGUAUAUUUCGAUGUGUUGUUUAAAUUGACGUAUGAAAAAAAAAAUGUAUAUUUAGAUCUAAAUCGUUUUGUUAUUGAAAUUUCAGGAUUAGAGAGAGGUUAUAUGGGCUGGAUACAGAUGUGUCUAAUUAUUUGGGCCGAUCCGAAUGAUUCAAAAUCGAUAAUCCAUAUAUAUUAUUAGUUUUGUUAGACACUUUUUUUUUGUAUUUACAAGACUGUUUGGGUUUAGGGUUUAGUGUUAUAACCAAAUUUCUAAUUUUCCUUUAACAAAUAAAUUUUGUUAACCAAUAAUCUAUCUAGAAUAUUCAUCAUAAGUUGCAACUUUCCAAAAAUGGAACAUUUAUCUUUUGAAGAAUACAUAAAAUGAACUGAUUCACGCGACACUUUCCAUAACCGUUAUUUGGGUGUUAUAUAUAUCCCCAUUUUCUCAUAUACAUUGUUAAAAAUAAUCAACAAAGUAACCCUUCUCCCCAACUGUUUCUUUGGCUUUAUACAAAUAUUGUCCAGUAAAAUUAUGUUCCCUAGCUUGAUGUAAUGAUUGUAUACUGAAGAAACUAUUGUAUUUUUUGAUUGUUUUUUACUCGGUAUGCUCGCUUAUCUCGGUUGCGUGUAUGCUUAGUAUAUCAGAUGCAAUUAGAUUUUAUUCUCUCAUAUUGCAUGCUGCUAAUGUCUCGAAAAAGUACAUUAACGGAUGAAAGGACGCCUUUGACAGACAGUUGUUGGCAUUUAAAAUAAAACCUAUAAAUAAGUUAAUCUUUAUUUUAAUAAUACAUAUUCAAUGUUGUAUGUUUCCAUAAAUUUAUUGGGUUGAAAAAGGAAAUAACUGUCUAGAAUGUAACGCGUAUAUAUAUAUGUGUUCUCUUUCCUUAUUUUUUUUUACUUUCCUUUUGUGUUCUUGAUAGAGAAAAAAAAAUGUCUCAUGCUGUUGAUAUCUCUAGGUUAGAUUAUUACACCACCGGCGGUGAAGUUCGUGUGCAAGUUGUUCGACUCUGGAAGAAUGUGAAUUUCUUUGGUGAUACAAUUGAGAUGAUUCUCGCUGAUGAUCGGGUAUUUCGUUAUGUAGUUGUUAUUUCUUUAUAUAUUUCAUAGGGUUGUUUUUUAAAAGCAAUUUUUCUUUUGGAUUUUACACUUGAACUUAUGCGAAAUCGUCGAUCUUAGGGUCAUCGUAUCGGUGCAACUGUCAUGCCCGAUGAAAUCGCUCUGCAUGGACCUGUACUUAAACAAGGUUACUGGUUUAGGGUUCGUCGAUUCGUUGUUAAGAAGGCCAGUGGUUCGAUAUGCAUAACCGUAAACAGGCAUCGGUUUAUUUUCGGACCUCAUACGGUCGUGAUUCCUACCUCUCCAGUAACCCAUAAUUUACACUUGCAUCUCAAUUGCACACGCUUCUUUGACAUCGUGACUCGCGGAUUAGAUUUUGAGUUUUUAAUUGGUAAUAUUGGUAACCAUCUGUUAGUUUUGUGACAAUUUUAGUAUAAUGUAUCGUUUUGUUAAUAUUACUUUUUUUGUAUUCGAUAUGUAGAUGUAAUGGGAACCGUGUUGAAGAUGGGUGAUCUCUGUGAGAUAAACAGCGAUGCUUAUGAGGAUAAUGCAACAUAUGUUCGAUUCGAAAUUCUUAAUGCAGGGUAACAUCUAUGAGUUUAUAUCCACAUGUCGUUUGUUUUUGCAAAAAAAAAAAAAAAAAUGUUUCCUUUUGGUUUUAAGACAUCUAAACUGGAAGAACCUUUUUGUUCUGUUUUAAUCAAUUAGGAGAGAUUGUGUAUUGCCAUGUAUCGCCCGUGGGAAUUUGGCUAAGAAUCUGCAUAGUGUUUAUCAGCGUAAUCAAAGUGAAUCAGUGGUGUUUGUGCUGAGGUUUUGGAAGAUGACUAAUGGUCAAUGUAGGUUUUUAUUCCUUUUUUUAGUAUUUUAGAAUAGCUAAUCUUGCAUUCUUCUAAUUCUGAUUCGUAAAAUUAAUGAUAGGUGUUGAUAACAAGUCGGUUGUCCUAUGCUCUUACCCUCCUUGCUCUGAUUUCCUGUGUAAUCCUGUUGAUGACGAGAUUGACGAUUUCAGGGCUAAGUAAGUAUUAAAUUUAAUUUUUCUUUAUUGACAUAUUGUGUUAGUUGAUUUUUAGAUAUAUUGAUCUAACAUAUCGAUUUUUUUUUUUUGGUAGGCGACACCGUCUUAACUAAUGCACCAGCGAUGGAAUGUCAAUUCCUUAUCUUUCUUUUUAAUGUUUGUAAGACUAUUAUAUUAUGAUACUUAUUAAAUGAUAUCGGUUGUUGUUUAAUCUACUAUUUUGGUUUGACUCUAUGCAUACUGCAUUAUGUCUUAUUUAUAUUAUGAAUGUUAUGAAUGAUUAUGUCUUAUUUAUAUUAUGAAUUUUAUGAAUGAUAUCGUUACAUUAUCUUUAGUGUUUAGAAUAAAUUUGUAUAUCAAUGGUUUUGUAGUGUUUUGUCUUUUUUUGGUGAUGUAUGAUGAUUUGAAAAGUUGAUUUUUAAACUAUAGUCUACUCAAAGGGCUAAGUAUUCAUUGCGCUUUUGAAAAUAUAGCUGACAAGUUUCUGAUAGUUUUGAAUAGAUGGAUAUCUAUAGUUUUUUUAUUCUUAAUAAUGUUCUGAUUUGAUUCUAAAUCUGUUUGAUGUAAACGAUUUAUUAUGUUACAUUUAAAUUAUAUAUCAUCUGAGCCCAAAAUUUGUAUACAUCUUUUGGGCCAAAAAAUUUCUGUUGUAACCAAAAUUCGACCCUUCCUUUAACAAAUAUAUUGUGAUGGUCUUGGAUGGUCAAAAGGUUAGUCCUAUAAUUUAUGAAUAUCUCGGUUAUUGCCCUGAUCUAUUAAAUUUAUUAGUGAUUAAUAAUGUUUUCAAUAUCAAUCAUAUUGUUAAUGUGUUACCUUAAUAUUUUCUAAUUUUAUUACGUAUAAUAAUUCUUUCAUCUAAUUAAAGAGUUUUAAAAUUCAAAAUAACGAGAAAAAAGUCAAAUAGAAUUGUCAAACAAAAUAAAUGAAAACAUCAAAUGAAAUUGGUAGAUUCAAUGGCUAGGGAAAAUAGGUGAGUGAUCAAAAAAGUAGCCAUCUUCAAUGUUGUUAAAAUCAUCAGUGUAGUCAAGCCUGCAAGAACAAGAUAAAUAAUGAGUCGAAUAUUCAAUAAUUUUGUUUAGUAAAUUUACAAGAUGAUAACGGUGAACAAUGCUUACAUAAAAUGAGAAUUUUCGACUUCAGGAAUUGGAGGAUCGAACAAUAUUUCAGAGAAUUCUCGACCAGAACAAACACAUAUUUCAUCUGUACAAUAUAGAAAAUUAUAUUAGCUACAAUUGAUAUGAAUAUAAAUUGAUAUAUGGUUGGUCGAUAGAAUGAGAAAUAACCUCCAUAUCGACACAACUCCCAAAAUCUCAAUACACAGAAAACGAUUUUGCGACGAGGAGUAUUUUUCCAUAAGGACUCAAAAUGUUCAGCAUCUCUUCCCCACGCUAUGCAAUUGAUGUCGACACCCCUAAAAAACAGAAUUAAUAUAUCAUUUUCUUUAACAUCGAGAAUAUGAUAGUAAAGAUUUAUAUAUGUAUUAAUCUUUGUAUCAAUGGAUUCUUACUCAAAAUCUCUUAUUGUAAAUUUCAGAACACUUGAGUUGAUUCUCUGAUUUCCGAUGCAAAAUUGGUCUUGACGUUCCAAUUGACAAACUUUGAUAAUACCUCCGAUCAAAUCAACUAGCAUAAAGCAAUAUAUUCGUAUAAUUAAGUAGAGUAUUGAUUAAUCUAAUUGAGUAUAAUUAAAUACUAAGAAAACAUACCAACGUCUAUGUUUUCCAUCAGAGAUUCGUCAAGGACAUUUCUAAAAUUAGCAAAUGAAUACAACUGGUCAUCUGAUUUAGGCGAUGUCUUCUCAACAUGAGUAUCCUCAUCGAUACAGAUAUGGAGACCAUUGACUGUAAUCCUCGAAGUUCCUAUGUGUGGAGUAAUUUUGAAGUUACAAAUGAAAUACCAAUCUUUAUCACACAUCAUGCCUUCAUAAUGGUCUACUAAACGAUUCGGAAUCGAUGCACGUAUUCGAUCACCCUAGAUUUUCAGUUAAAAAAUAAUGAUGUUAUUGAUAAUAUAUCAAGAUUCAGACAGUAAUAUAUUAAGAUUCAGACAGUAUGUUAUUUUUGAAGUUAUACUUACAUGUUCGUCUGCGAAUAUAAACGAUCGCUGAAUACCGUGAACACCUAGGCUUUCCUCGACACUCUUGAUAACUUGAACACAGAUAGAAGAUCGAUCAGAUGCUAUACCUAAAGCAGAAAUCAUCGUGCAAGGAGACAUUUUUUUCAAAGAUAGAUGCAGUUAUUCUUAACAAUGAAUAAAAUCUGAUUAUGAGUAACAAAUGGGUACUACUUUAAAUUGAAAACCACCGUUACGACAACCAAUAGUAGUGUUUGCAAUGUUUUGAAAAAUAACGGUCAUAUUUACCACCGCUAAUUUAGUUGACUAUAUAUGUCAUGUUUUGUUAUAAUUAUAAUAUAAUAAUUAUGAAAAUCAAAAAUAGAAAGAACCUCAUAAGAAUCAUUACUAGGUGAUAAAAUGACAUAUAAUUGUGAUGAUUAAUAAUAUUUAUUUUAUUGUGACAAUAAUUGUGAUACUAGCUUUUUUAGAGGCUUAGACAUAGAAAUUUUUUUUUUAAAGGAAUAUUUAUAAGAUAUUAUUUCGUUUGUUAUAUAAAGUACAAAUCUUUCUAUAUUUGGUUAUUAUUAAUGGUAUAAUUUCAUUUUAUUAUUGUAAAUAAGUGUUGUUCAUCUUAAAAAAUGAUAUAUACCGAAAUUUGGCAAAAAAUAUUAUACAAUUUAACUAUUAUUCAUAAACUCAAAUAUAAAAAUAUUACACGAUUUCUUAAAUAUAUAAACUCGUGUCUGGCAAGAAUUGAAAAUAAAAAUCUGAUGUUUCAAUAAUCAAAUUAUAAUAAGGUUUAUAUAAUGAUUGUGUCCGCGCGACGCGGGCAGAUACCUAGUUAAUAUUGGAUUCCAACACUAUGAAACUAUGUUCAAGACCGGUGAAUAAUUGAGCGUUGAGGGCCUUGAGGCUGGUGCCUGUAAUUUGAACCGUAAAAUACAGGUUCGAAUACAACGAUUUAAUUAGGAUUAGUGUCUUGUUGAAAAAGACUAUGGAAUGUAAAAUUCAAAGCCAUUAGAUUAAAAUCAUGCUCUUUAAAAUAAAAAAUUCAUAAAAACUAGGGAAAGUUUUAUAAAAAGAGCAACGUUCAUAUGUUGAAAAGCAAACUUUUGAAUGAAUAAUGACUAUAGCAGCGGGAUACACUAGAUUUACAAGAUUUAAUUGCCUGGGAUAUGGGAGAAUUUGGAAUUAAAGAUUUACAAAAAUUUAAUUUUAACCUUCUAAUAAACAGCUAUAGCGAUGGAAAGAGAGAAUAUUUUCACUAAGCAAAAAAAAAAAAAAAAAAAAAAACUGAUGUGUUUUAGGUGAAAUGCAUUGUACUAGUGACGAAGGAAUAUAUGAUUUGCUCUAUUUAAGUCUUUUUUGGUUAUAAUUUCCACCACUUUACCAAAGACGUUCACUUUAGAUGCAUCUAACAAAACUAAUUGAUUAGUUUCCCUUUCGAAAUAUUAUAAUCAUUUUUUGUUGAAUAAUUUCAAAUUCCCACCGAAAGUCCUUCACUUUUAAUUAUGAACACCACAUAUUUGAUAAAAACAAAUUACUUUUCAUCAUAAUAACCUUGAAAAAAGCGGUGUGGUUUGAUUAAACUUGAACCGCAUGUUCCAUAGACUGAAAAAUAGUAUUUUACACCUUAAAAGCAUAACCUAUCUAGCUGGUAAACUUCGUCCGCCCAUUCAAGGUCAGUUUCAUGUUCUCGAUGAACCAUUGUUCUCAAAAACUCGCCAACUCGUGCGACACUUACAGCAUUUAAGGGAAGCUUUCUCAGUCAGGAAUGAAGCUAGGAGAAGAAGGAAUCAAGUUAAAGGAAAGACAAGAACCGGAACAAAAGUCUUAGUGUGGCAAAGAUGUAGGACCGCGAAAAUCCGAUUGAAAUCACGAAUAGAAAAUAGCAAUAUUAUAAACGAUAUGUUAAAGUAAGAGAUUAAAACGAGAGUUUGAAAACCGAUUGAAAACAGACGAACACAUGGAGUCGAGAUAUGAUCUCUUUCCUUAACUCAAUAAAUCGCCCGUAAUGUGUGACGGUUUGUUGCGAUUUUUGAAUCCCAGGAUACAACCGUGAUGAGACUAUUACGCAACACCCGUAAUAGAAUCUACGAACUGAGAUUAUACUACGCUAUAGCUCUCGAGACACUUACGAUAUUAAGAUGAGAGGGAUUUGCUAGAAAGAAUUAUUUGCUGUGUGUUUGGUGUAUUCGAGAAUUCGAUUUUUCAUUCGAUGAUCUAGAAUGAGAGAAGAGGGCGUCUAUUUAUACUGGAAGGUUCAGCUUGAUCCGCAAGGAAUAAGCUUUGGCAAAAGGAAUAUUCACGAGAUAUUCUCCUUUUUCCGCAAGUAAAAAGAUUCGGAAAUCUUCCGUUAUUAUCUGGACGCAAUCUUUUAUUUCCUAAGAUUUAUCCUUUCAAUAUGCAAAAAAUUAUUUCGCAGGAACUAAGAAGCCCACGACCCACAUCCAGCUAUGUAGAGCCCAAGAGCCCUAAGAGCCAACUAAAAAAAUGCAACAAGCAACGAGCAACGAGCAACGAGCCUGAGCCCGGCACCGGCACCGGUGACGGCGACGGCGAUGGCGACGGCGAUGGCGGUGGCGCGCAUAGGUGUUUUGCAUAAUGCCCUUUUACUUCCACAAUGCUGUGUAUGCUUAUUAAUAUUGGGUUCCAACAAUCCCCCACAUGAAUAGAAAUGACUCUAUACAUAUGCAGACUCGAUAGACUAUGCAGACUAGACUCAAACUACACUACAGAUUCGACAGACGGACUUUUCGAGAGUAUAAGCGAAAACUAACUGUGUCUGAGGAAGUAGCGUUUUUCAGCCUUGAACCACUCAUUUUUAAUAUCUGUCGGAUUUACUCUCCAGGAAGUGAACAUGAUGUCUUGAACCACCCAGAUUUUGGUGUAAACCAAAUCAACAGAUACAACUCAGCUUCGUCUUCUCGUAGCAUUCAGUUCUCUAUUGUGUUCAUUGUGGCUUUGAACGUGCCUGGUUUAUCAUGAGUGAACUUGGAGAGUAUAGCCUUGUCUUCGUUCUCCUAGAAACGGCCUCAUUUCACACUCACUAAGUGAUUGCCAAGUACCUAUCACAUACUCAGAAAGUAUCAUGUUAUACUCUAUAUACAUGUAUAUGAAGGCUAUGGUCUUAUCUCAUUAAAAGCCAUAAAGCUUAACCUUACAUAAUUACAGGAAACACUGUUUAUCAUCAUGGAAAUUGAGCAUUUUACAGUGCUUUUCUCAGAUUAUGCUUGAUUUAGUUGUCCCUUUGAACCAACCUCUUGGGAUCUCCAAUCGCGUAGGUGGGAUUUCCAUCAAACAUCCUCUUUCGUGAUAGGCAAUAAGCUCAUUCCUUUAGAUGAUUCAAUGAUUUGAUCUCGCGGCAAGCUUUUGGUAAACGGAUCCGCUAAAUUUUCCGCUGACUUGAUGUAAUCAACUGUGAGUACACCACUUAAGAUCAGAUGCCUAAUCGUCUUAUGUCGUCUUCGUAUGUGACGAGACUUGCCAUUAUACAGAUUAUUCAGUGCCCGAGAGAUAGCCGACUGACUACCACAGUGUACACGUAAUGCUGGCACUGGUUUUUCCCACAUCGGGAUAUCUUCCAGGAAGUUCCGAAGCCACUCUGCUUCUUCGGCUGCUUUGUCUAAAGCUAUGAACUCUGACUCCAUGGUUUAUCGGGCCAGGAGUGCCUGUUUGGAAGAUUUCCAGGAUACUGCUGCUCCAGCGAGUGUAAAGACAUAUCCACUUGUGGAUUUGGCAUUUCUAGAAUCUGAAAUCCAAUUGGCAUCAUUGUACCGUUAUAACUGAUAACACCGGAUUUUGACCAUUUUUAUGGAUCAUUUUAAUAUCUUUUACAGGUGUUUUUACUCCAUUUUCAAAGGUUUUCAAAGGAUUUCUAUGUUUCCGGAUUUUAAAAGACUUUUCAGGUAAUUUGGGAUAAAGAGGUACAAAAUGGAACAAAUGAACUCUUUUGGAUAAAUGCAGACCGUCAGAACUCUCAUGGAGAGACGAAGACCUUCUCACCGUCUGAUCACCCUCAAAAUUGGACAACUUAUAGAAGAAUCAACCAGCUUUCAAUUGCACUUGGUUUGGAGACAUUCCAACGGUUGGAUCGCAAGAUAUUUCAUUAGCCCCGGAGCCACUCGAAGUCGGCCAGCAGCUCACGCGACCGCGGCCAACAAGCUAUUUGCCGCGGUCAGAAGCUUCCCGAUCGCGGCCAACAAGCCAAUUGCCGCGGUCACAACACUCCCGACCGUGGCAUUCAAGCUCCGACUUAAAGCCCACUUAUCUGAAGCCCAAGUCAUUCCCAGCCUCAAUUCCGGAACCCUAGAGACCAUGGAGUAUUGGAGACUAUAAAUACAUGUCAUUUAGGUCGUUUUUAGAGAGAACCCUUCAUACUUUACAGAAACCAUUUUUCUUUAGCCGUUUUUAUGAGAUUUUUGUAGAAGAUUGUUCAAGUCCGAGUUCUUCAAUAGAGAAGCUUUCUUUAUCUCUUUUCUUUACUGUUUUUCAUUAGUUUUAUUAAAAUCAAUGAUGAUGUCGAACUCAGCCAUGUCUGAGUAGAUCCUGACUUGGGCUUAGGGUUCCCGAAAGGGGCUCUCAUAAUCGAUUAAGACAUCUAGGUUUAUAGAUCUGGGAUUUCGACUUGUUCUCUGUUUAAUCUUGUUCUUAUUGCAUGUAUGCUUGAUUGAUCACCUAGUAUCUGAUCUAGAUAGUUAGUGUUGCGAAAGUUUUCAUUAAGUAUCAGCCCUAGAAUGAAACAGGCGAUUUUUCCGUAGGAGUGGAAACCUACCUGCGGCGAGAUCGUGAGUAUUGACGAGUCUUGUGCAGUUCUUGCGUUCUCUCCCUUCCAGGGCCAGAGUGGAAAAACCUACUGGUCAGGGUUGUGAGAAACAGUUGGUUAUGAUCACGACAGUGACGUAGUCAUACCGCCGUACUCUAGCUCUAGAACCCAUAUAUUGUUAUCUGUCAAUCCCAAUUUAUCUACCUUAGUGUUAAAACCGAUUAUGAUCCCUUAGAGUUCCCAAAAGCUCAGCGUUUUUAGCCAUAGUUUACAAUUUCAAUCGAUUUUUACUUGCUUUCUUAGACCUGCAUUUCAAUUUCCUUAGUUCGUUAUUUACUUGCUUUAUUUACUUUUCAUGCGAUAUUUUACUUGCCUUAUUUUUGGUUAGUUCGAUAUUUUACUUAUUCCAUUUGCAUUCCAUUCGAUUUUCUUUACUUGCUUUUCAGGAUAGAUUUAUUUGCUUUCUUUUGUUUUAGUUUAAUUCGCAAGAAAAACAACCAACCUUUAAAACCAAUUUAGUCUAGACAUAAAGUUAAAAACGGUAGAAGAAUACCAGGCACACAAAUCUCUGUGGAUUCGAUCCCUAAAUACUACAACUGAUUAGCUGUGCACUUGCGGCUUUUAUUUGUUUUGUUAAGGGUAAAAAUUGUUCCCUCACGUAGUUGACACGAGCGAGCACGCAUCAAGUUUUUGGCGCCGUUGCCGGGGAUUUGUUUCGCUGCCUUUUGCUAUUUUUCAUGUUUUAACUUCUGUUCUAGACACCUGAUCUCUAGUUCUUUCUUAAAGUUUUUCUGAACUAUCUUUCCCUUCUUUUGUCUUUCUCUGAAUUGCAUGAAUACCAGGCGUAGACCUGCAGGAGACAUUCCAAUUCUAGACGAGAUAGACAGACACGAAAGAGAACUUCGAAAACUUAGACGAACGCAAGAAAUGACCAACGACGACCAGCCUGGAGAUCCUAUUAAUCGAAAUUUAAAUAUGGACCAAGACGGGUCCGAACAUGGAGAAAAAGAAGAGAAUGAUCACACAGAAGGUGAUCAUGCUCGACAAGAUGGAGAGGAGGAUGAGGUUCUUCCAAGAAACCACCAGAACCGAGAGAGAGAAGGACGUGAAGACUUUGAUCCACCCAUCAAUGCAGCCGAUGGUGACCACCCAGCAAUGCAGCCGAAUGAACGCAUUCACCGCCCCAUUCCGCCAGCAAAUCAACACCGAAGACAAGCCAGAAACCAUCGCAUAGCUGAUUUUGAUGCACCUACUCAAAAUUUUCAGAAUCGAUCUGCGAUUCAAGUACCAUUUCCAAACCGGAAUGAGUUUGAAGUCAAGCCUCAAAUCAUCUCAUUGGUGAAGCAAAAACAGUUCCAUGGAGUUCCUUCUGAGAACCCAAUGGACCAUAUCGAGCUUUUUGAAGAAAUUUGCAGCAUGAUGAGAACAAACCAAGUUCCACCUGACUAUUUAAAGUGUAAGUUGUUCCUUUUUUCAUUAGCAGAUAAAGCUCACCGUUGGUUGAAGUCUUUGCCUGCAGGAUCGAUUACUAAUUGGGAAGAAUGUAGAACUGCUUUCCUGAACCACUUCUACACUAAGUCAAGGUUGAACAAUUUGAGAACGAAGAUCUCGACCUUUCAACAAGGGCCAACUGAAUCUUUCUAUGAAGCUUGGGAACGUUUUAAGGAGUAUGAACGUGAUUUCCCUCAUCAUGGAUUUCAUGGAUCAAGCCUGCUGAGCACAUUUUACCGAGGUUUGCAACCAAAAUACAAACUUUCACUUGAUACAGCUAGCAAUGGAGAUUUUGGGCAAAAGACGAUAACCCAAGGAAGAGCCCUUAUCGAAAAUUUGGCUCAAGCCAAUAACAAUGACUGUCCUGAAUACGAUCGAUCGAUGAAGCAAGCCGGAACAGACAACAAGGAGAUAACCGAGUUGAAGAACAUGGUGAGCCAACUUCUGAAGAGCAACAAUCGCCCGAUCCAUGCCUGUGAAACCAACAAUGGCGCAGAAGAGGAAGGACCUAGUGAUAUCGAUCACAUUAAUCAAGCAUUUCAAGAAGAAGAUGUGAACUACGUAGGAGCACUGGUGCCAUACCAAAAUCGCUCCAACAACAACUUCAACAACAACUUCCGGAAUGUAAAUUACAACAAUCUCUCUUACCGUAAUCCAAAUGUGGAGAACCCUCAAGAUCAGUACUACCCACCUCAGCAAAAAUCAUUCCAAAACAAGUUUCAAGUUGGAAACUUUGGAGGAAUAGUACCAUAUCAACCGCGACAGCCAUAUAACUACCAAGGUACGGGUUUUAACAAUCAAUUUGUACAACAGCAGGGAGUCACGACGAACCAGCUAGCUUCACAAAUCGGUAGACUUGAACAGUCAAUCCAACAGCUUGUUAUGACGAACGAAAAAGCAUCUAAAGACGUGAACGUGAAAGUGGACUGCAUGUACAAUGAUCUGAAUGGUAAGUUUGAAUCUUUAUCUUCGCACGUAAAAAAGUUAGAUGUGCAAGUCGCCCAAACAGCCGACUCUAUGAAGAGGCAAAGUGGAGUUCUUCCAGGAAGAGUUGAAGAUAACCCUAAGAAGUUUUGCAACGCCAUAACCACAAUGCCCGAAGAAGAGUCCAGAACCAAUGGAAAGAAAGAAGAAACCCCAAUCUUUGUACCACUGUACAAGGAUAUCGAUCCCAAGCAGCCACCGUUUAAGAUACCCGAACGAUCACCGUUUCAAAGGCUUACCAAAGCCGAACAUCCGGGACGUUUUGUUUUCCAAUGUUUCAUUUCAGGAAUCAAGUUUACAGAUUGUUUGUGCGAUUCCGGAGCCAAUGUCAACAUCAUGUCUAAGACAUUUGCCGAAAAUUGGGCAUAAAAACCUUAAGGACAUCGACGGUUAAGGUUAUCUUUGGAGAUUCAUCUCAAAAAGAUACUGAAUGGGCGAUUCAUGAUCUACAAGUUCUAGUGGAAGAUAAGAUCGUUCCAGCAGAUUUCCAAGUCCUGGAGAUGGAUAAAGACAAGGAGAGGCCACUCAUUUUCGGGAGACCAUUCCUAGUUACAGUAGGAGUAAUAAUCGAUCACGCAAAUCGGCAUGCUGUUUUCCUCAAUGUGGACAGAAGAAGGUACUAUCUUAGAUGAAUUUCCAAGUAAAGGAAACAGGCCAAAAGAGAAAGAAAAGGAGAAGCCGAAAGCUUUUGCAAAGAUCAAGAUCAUCAUUCCACCGGACGCAACAGAAACUAGUGAGGACCAAAUCCAGGAGCUGAUCGAAAACACAAAAAGGGUUCUGAACAACAUUAAAGUCCGAAAGAAGAGUAAAGGUAAGAAGACUUCUCUUCAAGGAGAAGAAGUAAAACCUCCACCAACCGGAAGUGAUAAGGGCACAUCAAGUGGAGUGCCAUUCAAAUCAGCCUGAUUCCUCAUGCUUACGUCGAGCUAAACGACUUAAAACAAAAGCGCUUAAUGGGAGGCAACCCAUUUAGGUACUCUUUCUUUUAGUUUUCUUUUCCUUUUUAGAAUUUAUGCUUUCUUUUGCUUUUUAAGUUUUAGGUAUUUUAUAAAACAAAAACACAAAAAAAUCAGAAAUUUAGAAAAACCAAGAAGAAAAAGGUAGGUCUUUAGCUGCUCGGCCCGGCAAAGACGAGAAGAUUAGGCAAUAGGCCGCAGGAGGAAGACCCGCGGUCGCAACUGACGGAACCGAGGCCAAAGGUGCAUUGACCGCGGCACCGUGAAUGUGACCGCGGCCGAGCACUCGACCACCGCAGUCGCGCGUCUCCUGACCACGGCCGUUGGUCGUUGAGGUGAUUCCGCGGAUUUUUGCCGCUUCCCGGUGUUGCCUGGUGUUUGCCUGGUGAUUCCUGGUGUUGCCUGGUGUUGCAUGGUGAUUUCCCGGUGUUGCCUGGUGUUUACCUGGUGAUUCCCGGUCUUGCCUGGUGAUUCCCGGUGUUUCCCAAAAUGUUCCCGGUAAAACCCGAAAAGAUCCUCCGUAAGUUUUAAACUUUCCUAAUGUGCAAACAAGAAAAGGUAAGUUCCCGUAAACUUAAAAAUUUCCAGAAAAUUUCCGUUUUUGCUUCAAAAACGCUUUUUAAAGAAAAAAAACAAACUUUUUGGAUCAAAACUCUUUCUUAUCUUCUCUUCCAAAAGACUUAGAGAUUUAGGAGAAAAAACACAUUUUUCAAUUCUUAAGCUUUUUAAGAGAUUUUUGGCUCAAACCUCACUCUUUUUCAAAGCUGAUUUCAAUUCUACCAUCAAUUCUCUCUUUCCAGCAAGGUAUGAACCUCAAACUCACCAUUCUUACUCGAUUUUGAACUUAGGGUUUUCUUUAAAAACCCAAAAUUUUGGUCUAUUGAUGGUGGAAAUAGCUUAAGAAUGAUAGAUUAUCCAUUUAGGUUAUCUAAAAAUCGAUUUUAGCACCUAGCUUAAGAGGAAUUGAGAUUUUUGAAAUUUGGAUUCUACAUGCUUAAUAAAAAUCGAAUUUGGAACAGCAAAAUUGAUGAAUUUGAUUUAGUCUUGUGUGAUUAGUGAUUAGUAUUGGGUAAUCUUUAGAAUUCACAUGGAAAUUGCUCAUAAAAACCGAUUUUUAGAAGAUUUCUAUGUUGAGAACAUCAAAAAUCUGAAUUUAGUCAUGAAUUACUUGAUUUCUCUGAUUUAAUAUCAAUUUUGUUUGCUAAUAGUUUUAAUUAUUCUCUUUAUACUAGUAUUAGUAUAACAGAUCUUAAUGUGUUAUAAUUAGCAUCCAAAUUCACUCUUUUUCCAAGAAUCAUUUCAUUUUGCAGAAAAUGGAUGAAACCAGAUCCCGAAGGAGCCGUCGAACUGGUGGCAGCUCCGAUGACAUUCCCGACGAUGCUACUCUAGGAGAGUACAUGCUGAACCAAGCCAGACCGAGAAGAAGAUACUCUGUGAUGAGAUUGCUCCAGCACUCGAGGGAAACACGAGCACCUCCCGAGCCACCACAGAUUCGAUACAUUGGGAGGGAGACAAACCCGAGAGUGGACUAUGCAAGGCGUUUCAAGAAGUUGAACAUCAAACCCACGCCUUGCAUUGAUUAUCAUACACUCGAGAUGCUUGGAAUCAGAGAGGAUGUGAUCUGGUACAUCGAUGCACUUAAGCUGAGACCCUACUUGGAGCUGAACCUUCCGACUUAUCCUGAGCUAGUCCGUGAGCUUUUAGCGACCGUUGCACUCCACCACACGAAGAGGAGGAACCCCAGAGCAUCAGAUGGCAUUUUGUCAUUCUCUAUCCGCGGACAGCCUUAUUCUCUCACCAUUUCCGAGGUUUGUGAAGCUCUUAAGCUUCCAUACACUGAUGGCAUUUAUCUUGAAGAUGAACCUGAUCUUAACCUGUGGAGAGAGAUGGGUCAUGGAGCCUACGAUAGUGGGAGAUCUAAGUCAGCCCUUCUUAGCCACCCAGCAGUGAGAGUUGUGCACAAACUCUUAGCACACAUGAUCUUCUCUAGAGCCAACAUGGGAGGUGUUUUGAAGACUGAGCUCAUUACACUUCAGAUCCCAUUUAUGGACGACCCACGACUUGCCUGCUUUGCAUGGAUCAUAUCGCAGAAUAUGGUAAAGGUGAAGCAUGAUUUACAUGGUUGCGAUGACGCUACUCCAGCUUUCGGGAGUGCUAUUACAGCGAUACUACAGACUGUAGGAUUCGAUUUCUCAUCUGACGAACCACUUCCCGAUAUCUGGUAUGAUCUAGUUUACCUCUCUCGCGAUCACACUAUCUCUCGUGCCGCUUUCGAUCCAGACAGGUUUGGUUACAAAUAUUGAACUGGCACCGAGGAGCACCGAGUCCGCUUACCUUCAGCGUCUAUCCCGAGAUUGUGCAACGGAGGACGUCCUCGAUGGACUCCGGAAUCCGAUGAUUUUCUGCCAUCUGUACCUCGUCUACCAUUCACCAUUGGCCAGUACAUAGUGGCCAAGGCGAAGCGUGAUGCAGCUGCGGCCCGUGCUCAUUUUCAGCCAUCAAUUCCGACCGGCCACACCUCAUCAUCUACAUCAUCACACACACAUUCCGAUCUGGAGCGCAGAGUUGAGAGACAGGGACGACGCUUUGAGCGCGUUGUCACCUUCUUACAGGAGCACCACCAGUUCGCAGACGACACUUUGGAGGAUGAGUGACUGAUCAGCACUUUACUACCAUCACGGUUCUAUCAUCAUUUUCUUUUCUUUUAUCUUACUUUAUUUCGCUUUUAUUCACCAACUUUUUCACAUUGGAGACAGUGUGAUUUAAGUCUGGGGGAGGAUGUCUAUCUGUACUAAUCAUUUUCCUGCUUUGCUUUUAAAUUUCAAAUACUUUUUAAAAUUUAAUAUGUAACCUAUUCGACAUUAAGUAUUUUUCAGGAAUGUUUGACGCAAAACUAUGAUGAUUUAGACCUGCACACUUCUACACUAUGCAUGAUAGCUCAUUUGUGGUUAGCACUACAUUAGGCGGUAGCUAGAGUACUUGCACUACGAACUCCCACCAGAGGACUUCUAUUCAUGGAGAUUCUUUCUGACAGGAUAUACUAGCUCAUUUUAUUUGGACUUAAUAUUGAUAUCUAAUUUUCUCAUCAUUGAUUUUAGGCAGGCAUCGACAUACACAUCUAGGACGUCUUUUACCCUCACUUUUACCACUCUUUGUCGUCCUAGAUGACCAGUUUAUCUUUAUCUGGUACCAUACCCUAAACCCAAAACCUUUGUUUUCAAUCCUCAUGCACUCUCUCUUUAGUUUAUAUCAGCAGAUAUGUGCAAAAACGUCGGAGAGAAGAGGAGCGACACAGUUUUCAGUCACUCGCAAAAGAGACUGAAUGGAAUUGGGAAGGAAGAGUAUCAGAAACAUAAUAAAGCUUUACAAGACAGAUAUUAACUGGUAAAUUCGUGCUCUCUAAGACUCUAUAUCUAAAGGUGUUACCUAUCUCUAAAAAAAAAAAAAAAAAAAACGUGAAAAGAGAAAGGCAAACAAAAAGCCUAAUGAGUCUUAGAUUGUCGAAAUUUGUGGAGCAAUGAGCAACCACUAUUCGUUUAAGGAGCUAUUGUUUUGAAAGAUUUACAAAAAUCUAAGUCUGGGGGAGUUUGGAGAGAACUUGAGUAAGAAGACCAUGAAUCUAUGUCAAGAAGAAAGUGACUGAAAACUGUGGAUACCAACAGCUUCACUCUCUCUUGCGGUUUUGCAUAAUGUCCUGCAUCCUCCAGAUCUUCAGGUAACCCUUAAACACUUUAAGCCAUACCCCCAAAAUAAUCCUUCUUUACACCUAGCCUAGAUUGCCUUGCCUAGAUUUUCUUUGAUGAGAACCACCGAGAUUUUUAAUGAAUGUUAAGAGCUAGUUGACUGGAAGUUAGAUUUUAGUGCAUAGAUUUCUGCAUGACGGAUUAACGGACUAGUUAUGCCUGUAUUGCUAGUGAGAAUUUUCUAGGCUAUUCCCGAUUGACGCUUACUGAUUAAUAUUGGUCUAGAAGUUUGGUCUCUGAGAUUUUGUUUAGUUCCUGCGUUUUCAAACCUCUCACUGAGAUUUAGCCUUUGUUUUGUUUGAGGACAAACAAAAGACUAAGUCUGGGGGAGUUGAUAACACCGGAUUUUGACCAUUUUUAUGGAUCAUUUUAAUAUCUUUUACAGGUGUUUUUACUCCAUUUUCAAAGGUUUUCAAAGGAUUUCUAUGUUUCCGGAUUUUAAAAGACUUUUCAGGUAAUUUGGGAUAAAGAGGCACAAAAUGGAACAAAUGAACUCUUUUGGAUAAAUGCAGACCGUCAGAACUCUCAUGGAGAGACGAAGACCUUCUCACCGUCUGAUCACCCUUAAAAUUGGACAACUUAUAGAAGAAUCAACCAGCUUUCAAUUGCACUUGGUUUGGAGACAUUCCAACGGUUGGAUCGCAAGAUAUUUCAUUAGCCCCGGAGCCACUCGAAGUCGGCCAGCAGCUCACGCGACCGCGGCCAACAAGCUAUUUGCCGCGGUCAGAAGCUUCCCGAUCGCGGCCAACAAGCCAAUUGCCGCGGUCACAACACUCCCGACCGCGGCAUUCAAGCUCCGACUUAAAGCCCACUUAUCUGAAGCCCAAGUCAUUCCCAGCCUCAAUUCCGGAACCCUAGAGACCAUGGAGUAUUGGAGACUAUAAAUACAUGUCAUUUAGGUCGUUUUUAGAGAGAACCCUUCAUACUUUACAGAAACCCUUUUCCUUUAGCCGUUUUUAUGAGAUUUUUGUAGAAGAUUGUUCAAGUCCGAGUUCUUCAAUAGAGAAUCUUUCUUUAUCUCUUUUCUUUAUUGUUUUUCAUUACUUUUAUUAAAACCAAUGAUGAUGUCGAACUCAGCCAUGUCUGAGUAGAUCCCGAGUUGGGCUUAGGGUUCCCGAAAGGGGCUCUCAUAAUCGAUUAAGACAUCUAGGUUUAUAGAUCUGUUAUUUCGACCGGUUCUCUGUUUAUUCUUGUUCUUAUUGCAUGUAUGCUUGAUUUAUCACCUAGUAUCUGAUCUAGAUAGUUAGUGUUGCGAAAGUUUUCAUUAAGUAUCAGCCCUAGAAUGAAACAGGCGAUUUUUCCGUAGGAGUGGAAACCUACCUGCGGCGAGAUCGUGAGUAUUGACAAGUCUUGUGCAGCUCUUGCGUUCUCUCUAUUCCAGGGCCAGAGUGGAAACCUACUGGUCACGGUUGCGAGAAACAGUUGGUUAUGAUCACGACAGUGACGUAGUCAUACCGCCGUACUCUAGCUCUAGAACCCAUAUAUUGUUAUCUGUCAAUCCCAAUCUAUCUACCUUAGUGUUCAAACCGAUUAUGAUCCCUUAGAGUUCCCAAAAGCUCAGCGUUUUUAGCCAUAGUGUACUAUUUCAAUCGAUUUUUACUUGCUUUCUUAGACCUGCAUUUCAAUUUCCUUAGUUCGUUAUUUACUUGCUUUAUUUACUUUUCAUGCGAUAUUUUACUUGCCUUAUUUUUGGUUAGUUCGAUAUUUUACUUAUUCCAUUUGCAUUCCAUUCGAUUUUCUUUACUUGCUUUUUAUGAUAGAUUUAUUUGCUUUCUUUUGUUUUAGUUUAAUUCGCAAGAAAAACAACCAACCUUUAAAACCAAUUUAGUCUAGACAUAAAGUUAAAAACGGUAGAAGAAUACCAGGUGAUAUGUCAUGGUUUUUAUGGUUUUUAACCAUGGUAUAAGUCCUAUUUAUAGAGUCUGUUUAGUGUCUUUCGAGUCUUUUGGAGUCUUUUCAGGUCAUAGGUACGUUUGGAGCUUAACUGGAGACUUUGGAGCACUUUGGAGCUUAAUCAGGAUCAAUUUCGUCAAGAAUGGAUUUUGUGCUUUGGUGACGCUCGACACCAUGGAGAGUGACGCGCGACACUUGUUAGAGAAAUAAGGAAAAGGCGAUUUUGUUUCCUAUUUGAAGAAGGAGUUGGGCCCAAACGAUUUCGAGGAAGCCCAAGACGUGUCUUAGAGAUAUAUAUAGGAUUUUUUAUUCCCUUUUUACGUUCACUUUUAGAUUUUGAGAGAGAGAUACUCUGAGUUUUCGGCUUUUGCGAUUUCUGAGCUUGGGGAGACAAGUCUGUACUCUGUUCGUUUAGAGAGAAGAUUUCGAACCCCUUUAUCUAUUUCGAUUUAAUCUAUUGCUUUCUAUUCAUCAUGCUUGUUGUUUCAAUAACCAUGUCUGAGUAGAUCACCUGUUAGGUUUAGGGUUAAUUAGGGUUUUCUCUGAAUGUUUGAUUAACUUGCUAGUUAGGGUUCAUAUCUAUUUGUUCUUCACCUUAGGUUGUUCUUAAAGCUAAUUCUGGACUGAUCACCUAGAAUUUAGAUCUUAGGUUGCUUAAUUGACACGGAAGUGUAAUUGAAUAACUGGAAAGAACCUGAGUUGAGCAAAGUAGCUAUUCGCAAAGGAAUUUGGUUUAGCCGCUUUGUGAACAUAUCGAACUUGUGCAAUUAAGGCUGGUUUAAAUCUGUAGGAUUUACAAAGGAAUUUGGAAUUCUAGGAUUUUAACUUAGAUAAUUCUCACAACGGAAGUUGGUUAAUUAUAAUUCUGUGUUUCGAGUUCAAGAACCGUGCUUAAUACCUGAACCCUGACUUGUUAAGUUGAUUUGCAUUCAUUGAUCUCCUGAAAAUUACCCUAGGCCUAUCCUUUAUCACAUCGAAUUUACAACUGUCUUCAUCGCUGCUUUAUUUAUUUCUGUCGCAUUGUUAUUUCUUUUGCAUAUUUCUGCUUAGCGUAACUCUAUCUACAUAAGGUUUAUUGAGUGAUCUCUUGUCUCUGUGAUUCGACCCCUAGAUACUACAACUGCACAUCUAUGCUCUUGCAGAGUAGCUUAGGGAUUAAACUUUGAGCAUAUCAAGUUUUGGCGCCGUUGCCGGGGACUUGAUUUCGCCAUUAAACCUAGUUUUUGAGUUUCGACUAAGUUUUUCAACUUAGUGUCGAGCGACACCACUUGUGGUGUCGCGCGACACCUUUCUUUUUAUAACCUAAUUUGCUUACUUCGUUUUCUCUCUCUCUGUUUUUGGUGUUUCAGGUUUAUGCAUACUCGUGGAACCAGAAGCAACAAGGACAUCCCGCUAGUGAAUUUGAGCAACGAACAGCUAGCUGAGUUAGAGCGAACGAACAGGAAAGCAAGAGAUCCGGCAAUGAUGGAAAACGCCAAUGGACUUGUUUGUGAUGAUGAUGGAACCUGGAGAGACCGAGAGGGUCAUCUGUGCAAUGCGAGAGGCCAAAGGCUUGAUGGAGAUGGUAACAUCAUUCCACCAGCGCCUUUACCAGUGGAUGUUGUUGACCAUAAUCCACCACCUGCACCGCGUGGUAAUGCUGUGAUCGUUCCACAUCAGAGGAACGUUCCAGAAGAUCGGAAUGCGAGGGAACCUGCGCCUGCAGCUGGUCGUGGACGAACACUUGGAGACUACAACAGGCCUGAGCAGUUCUAUGCAAAUCGUUCUGCGAUUCGCGCUCCUGCGUUUCAAAGAAACGAUUUUGAGCUGAAGCCUGUGUACUACACUCUUGUAGGUCAGCACCCUUUCCAUGGCCACUCUCAUGAGCACCCGAUGGACCACAUCGAGAGGUUUGAAGAUUUGGUCACCAGCAUCAAAUACAAUGGAGUGUCCAAUGAUUUCCUCCUCUGCAAGCUGUUUCCUUACUCUCUUGCUGGAGAAGCAGCUAACUGGUUGAAACAGUUGGAGCCAGGAUCGCUCACCACUUGGGAAGAAACCUGGAACGCCUUCCUGCACAACUUCUUCGACGAUGCUAGGUCUGAGGAGUUGAGGACGAAAAUCUCGACUUUCUCUCAGGAACCUACUGAAGCAUUCAAAGCUUCUUGGGUGCGAUUCAAAUCGUACCAGCGAGACUGCCCUCACCAUGGCUUCAGCGAUGUGCAGUUGCUGGGUAUCUUCUUCAGAGGUAUCGACUGGAGGUAUCAGAUGGCACAUGAUGCAGCAAGCAAUGGUAACUUAAACACCAGAUACCCAGAAGAAUCUGUUGAGCUCAUCGAAAAUUUGGCAUCCAGCAACAGCACCAAGAAUGCUGAUCUUGAGCGAAAGAAGCAAGCUGGGAACAUGGAUAGAUCGCAGAUCGCUGAAGUGAAGGCUAAACUUGAUUCUGUGCACAGCCUUUUAGUGGGCAAGAAAUCGGUCAGAUUCGCACAGGAGGUGGAGAGUUUCGAACCUGAGGAUGCAGUUGAGGAAGAGGAUGUCAACUUUGUCAGUGGAUCAGGAUUUUAGGGUCAGAGGUUUGGUAAUCAGCAAGGUAACAGAAGCUACAGUGGAAAUUACAGUGGAAACAAUCAGAGGAGUACCUUCAACAGUAAUCAGAACUUCUCUGGUUACACGCCUAAGCCUCAAUACCAGAAACCUUUUUCCAGCAACAGUUUUUCCAGGAACUACAGCACUCCUUCAUCUCAACCUCAAAAUCCUGUAAAUGAGAUGAAGUCUAUGCUGGAACAGAUUCUAGAAGGUCAGCAGAAGCUCACUGUGGACUUUAAUGGGAAGAUGGAUGCUCUCUACAUCGAUCUGAAUGGAAAAAUCGAAGCUCUGAACACCCAUGUCAAGCAGCUCGAUACACAGGUAGCCCAAACUGCAGGUUCUAUUAAAAGGCAAGAGGGUUUUCUUCCUGGGAAGACUGACACCAAUCCAAGGCAUCACUGUAGUGCUAUCACGUUGAGGAGUGGUAAAAAUCUGAGUUCUGAUCCCAAGAAGACGCCUCCUGCACCUGAAGUGGUGGAUUUAGAAGAUUCUGAAGCAGUUCUUGAGAUUGCAGAGCCGGUGACGAGCGACACCACCACUAGUGUCGCGCGUCACCAAUUGCAGAGCGAAGCUGUUGAUGUUCCGAAUCCGAAAUCUGCAGAGGAGAAAGUCUACAAACCUAAAGUUCCUUACCCAAGGAGCCCUAGGAAGUUCAAGCAAGAGCUUGAUGAUGCACGAUGCAAAGCUUUGAUGGAAAAGCUUGUGAUUGAGAUACCUUUGGUUGAUGCUGUAAAAAUCACUCCUGUUAUCAGACGUUAUGUGAAGCGAAUGGUAACCAAUAAUCUCAGCCAUGAACAAGGAGUGAUGAUGAUCUCUGAGCAAGUCAGUGCAGUGAUUCAGAACCGAAUUCCAGAGAAGUUGUCUGAUCCAGGAAGCUUUGUCUUGGAUUGCUCUAUCUUCACAGAGAGAUUCAAGAGAUCGCUGUGUGAUCUGGGUUCAAGUGUUAACCUCAUGCCUUAUUUGGUAGCUGUCAAUCUCGGCAUGACUGAUUUCAAGCCAACAAGGAUCUCCCUCAUCCUAGCUGAUCGUUCGACAAGGAUACCUGAAGGGGUGCUAGAAGAUGUUCCAAUCAAGGUUGGAGACUGCAUGAUACCGACUGACUUUGUGGUUUUGGAGUAUGGAGAGCAGCCUAAAGAUCCUCUUAUCCUUGGGAGACCUUUCCUAGCUACAGCAGGUGCUAUCAUCGAUGUCAGGAAAGGCAGGAUUGCUCUGAAUGUUGGAGAUCUGGUGAUGAACUUUGACAUGGACAAGCUGAUGAAGAAGCCCACAAUCGAUGGUCAGACCUUCUAUGUCGAUACUCUCACGGAGUUUGCUGAGGAUUUUCUCCAUGAGAUGCUGCCUACAGACCCACUUGAGAGAGCUCUGACCACAUCUGCCUCUGAGGCUGAACACUUGGACGAAAUUUCAGCAUCUUACUCGAAGAUGUUGGACUCCAGCGAGCAUGUGAUGCAGCUAGCAUCGCAGAUUGAACAGCUUGAGACUCCUGCGAAGGUGAAGCAGUUAUCCGACUGGAGUGAGGAGAAAGCUCCUAAGAUUGAGUUCAAACAACUCCCUGCAGGACUAAGGUACGCAUUCCUGGGCUCUAAUUCUACUUAUCCAGUCAUUAUCGAUUCUUCCUUGAACAAUGCUGAGGUUACCUUACUCCUGAGCAAGCUGUGCAAGCAUCGCAAAGCUUUUGGCUAUUCUCUUGAUGAUAUUUCAGGUAUUUCACCAGACUUGUGCAUGCACCAAAUCCACUUGGAGGAUGAGUCGAAGUCGUCGAUUGAACACCAGCGCAGGUUGAACCCUAACCUGAAAGACGUCGUCAAAAAGGAGAUCAUGAAGCUACUAGAAGCUGGAAUCAUUUACCCAAUUUCAGAUAGUGCUUGGGUGAGUCCUGUGCACGUGGUUCCUAAGAAAGGAGGAGUUACAGUUGUGAAGAAUGACAAGGAUGAGCUGAUUCCAACACGCACAGUGACUGGACACAGGAUGUGCAUCGAUUACAGGAAGCUGAAUGCAGCAACCAGGAAAGAUCACUUCCCAUUGCCCUUUAUCGAUCAGAUGCUGCAGAGACUUGCAAGCCAUCCCUACUACUGCUUCCUCGAUGGGUACUCAGAAUUUUUCCAGAUCCCUAUCCACCCAGACGAUCAGGAGAAGACCACCUUUACAUGUCCAUACGGCACUUUCGCAUAUCGCAGGAUGCCCUUUGGACUCUGUAAUGCUCCUGCGACGUUUCAGAGAUGUAUGAUGUCCAUCUUCACUGACAUGAUUGAGGAUUUCAUGGAGGUCUUUAUGGAUGAUUUCUCAGUCUACGGAUCAUCUUUUAAGGACUGUCUGGAUAAUCUCUGCAAGGUUCUGGCUCGCUGUGAAGAGAAACACUUGGUCCUUAACUGGGAAAAGUGUCACUUUAUGGUCAGAGAUGGGAUUGUGCUUGGGCACAAGGUAUCUGCAGCUGGUAUCGAGGUUGAUCGCGCGAAGAUUGACGUCAUGACGAGCUUGCCACCACCUGAUUCUGCGAAAUCGGUUAGAAGUUUUCUGGGUCAUGCAGGCUUCUAUCGUCGCUUCAUCAAAGAUUUCAGCAAGAUUGCACGUCCUCUUACUGCUCUGCUCUGUAAAGAUGCUAAGUUUGAGUUUACAGAUGAGUGCCUUGCUGCGUUCGAACAGAUCAAGCAUGCUCUGAUAAGCGCCCCCAUUGUGCAGCCUCCUGACUGGAAUUUGCCUUUUGAGGUGAUGUGUGAUGCUAGUGAUUUUGCUGUUGGUGCUGUUUUAGGACAGAAGAAGGAUAAAAAGCUUCAUGCAAUCUACUAUGCCAGUCGAACUCUGAAUGAUGCUCAAAGGAAUUAUGCUACUACUGAGAAAGAGCUGUUGGCUGUAGUUUUUGCUUUCGAGAAAUUUCGGCCAUACCUUGUGGGAUCGAAGGUGAUUGUGCACACAGACCAUUCUGCACUCAAAUACUUGAUGCAGAAGAAGGAUGCGAAGCCUAGGUUGCUGAGAUGGGUAUUACUCCUUCAGGAAUUCGAUAUUGAGGUCAAGGACAAGAAGGGGGUUGAGAAUGGUGUGGCAGAUCAUCUCUCAUGCAUCAGGAUUGAAGACGAUGUACCCAUAGACGAUUUCCUGCCAGAAGAGAAUGUGUAUUAUGUGGAAACCAAGUUCCAGAGCAGUUUUGACGAAGAAUUGCAGGUUUUUCGAAUUGGAGGAACGUUAGUGACGAGCGACACCACCACUAGUGUCGCGCGUCACCUUACUCAGGCGAACACAGAAACCUCCCAAAUUCGAAGCAGACUUCCUGAGAUCAGUUCAGCUGCUGUAUCCGCUACCCAACGUCCCUUGUAUGCUGAUAUUGCCAAUUAUCUCGCUGCAGAGGCUGAGCCUGAGAACUUUAAGGGCUAUGCAAAGAAGAAGUUCCUGAGAGAGCUGCAAAGAUAUCACUGGGAUGAGCCAUAUCUGUACAAGCACUGUUCUGAUGGGAUUUACAGAAGAUGCAUUGCAGAGUCAGAAGUUCCAGAGGUGCUGUUUCAUUGUCAUGGAUCUGAAUAUGCUGGACACUUUGCAACAUUCAAAACAGUGUCUAAGGUUCUUCAAGCAGGCUUUUGGUGGCCUACCAUGUUUCGCGACGCACAUGCAUUCAUCUCGCAGUGCGAUGCUUGUCAGAGGAGAGGAAAGAUCAGCAAAAGACAUGAGAUGCCACAGAAUUUCAUCCUUGAGGUUGAGGUAUUCGAUUGCUGGGGUAUCGAUUUCAUGGGUCCUUUUCCCUCUUCUUAUGGGAACAAGUACAUCCUGGUUGCUGUUGAUUAUGUCUCAAAGUGGGUCGAAGCCAUUGCCAGUCCCACCAACGAUUCUUCGGUGGUCCUUAAGAUGUUCAAGACCAUCAUCUUUCCUCGAUUUGGAGUGCCUCGAAUUGUUAUAAGUGACGGUGGUUCUCACUUUAUUAACAAGAUUUUCGAAAAAAUCCUAAGGAAACAUGGAGUUCAUCAUCGAGUUGUCACUCCUUAUCAUCCUCAGACGAGUGGACAGGUCGAAGUCUCGAAUCGACAGAUCAAAGAGAUUUUGGAGAAGACAGUGGGCAAAACUCGAAAGGAUUGGGCUGCGAAGUUGGACGAUGCACUCUGGGCGUACAGGACAGCGUUCAAAACACCUCUAGGCACCACACCUUUCCACCUGCUCUAUGGAAAGCCCUGUCACCUUCCAGUGGAGAUCGAACACAAGGCAGCCUGGGCGAUAAAGCUGAUGAAUUUCGACAUCAAGUCUGCUGCAGAGAGGAGACUGAUACAGCUGAAUGAGUUGGACGAAAUCAGGUACCAUGCCUAUGAGAAUUCGAAGUUAUACAAAGAGAGGACCAAGGCGUAUCACGAUUCCAAGAUCCUCUCCAGGCAAUUCGAACCGAAUGAUCAAGUACUUCUGUAUAACUCUCGUUUGCCAUUGUUUCCUGGUAAACUUCGUUCUCGAUGGUCAGGUCCUUUCAUAGUCAAAGAAGUUCGCCCCUAUGGUGCCAUCGUCCUCCUCACACCAGAUGGUAGCAGAGAGUUCACAGUCAAUGGACAAAGGGUGAAGCACUACUGGGCCAAAGCUGAGAUUCCGGAUGGACAUAUCGUGCCUCUAGAUGGCGCACCUCCUGCUUGAAUCGCCAUCAAGUCAAGCUAAUGACUUUAAACAAGCGCUUAGUGGAAGGCAACCCACUGGUGAGUCUGUAAAUAAGUCUUUUGUUUCAGUAAUUUUCGUUUUUCUUUUCGUGUUUUAGGUGAAACAGGGCUGGUGUCGAGCGACACCACCUUCGGUGUCGCUUGUCACUUGCUUCAGAAAAAAAAAAAAAAAAAAAAAAAAAAAUUUAGGAAAUCAGGAAACCGGAGUAAAACCAGAAAUUCGGAUUGGUCUGUUGGGGUAUGAGAGAACAAGUGUCGCACGACACCAUCAUCGGUGUCGCGCGUCACCAUCAUUGCAGCCAGGUACGUUCUCUGUUUUUCCUGUGUUUCUCUGUUUCUUUUCUUUUGUCACCAACUUCGGAUUUGAUUACACUGGGGACAGUGUUAUUCAAGUCUGGGGGAGGUAGUUGCUGACAUUGUGUUUGUUUUUCUUAAGAGUCAGUUGUGUCAAAACGUUUUUGAGUCAAAACCUGUUGGAGACCAUGAUGCUUUUCCUGGAAUUAUUGUGCUGACCUUUCACCUAAGUGACCACUGCUGCAGAUUCAGCCUAGAUCCGACUAAUGAAAAAUCCAAAGGCUGACCAGUUGACUAGAGGCGUCCAUGUUUCCAACAGAAUCCACUAACCUGAGCUAAGUACUGAACUUCACUUUUAACUCGCUGAUGUGACUAAUGCCUUAGAGCUUGAUUCCUCAUUCGUACUUGAUCAAUGAAAGCCUGUGUGAAAUUUAAUGAAGUGAUCUCUCUCCCUUGUGACGAGCUAAGAAAGAAAAAGGGCAAAAAGAUUGAGAUGAUUUUCGCUUAGGAGUGAAGGGCUAGGAAUGUUUCCAAUGAUCCCAUUAUUUCACUUCUAAGAUGGAAUGAUCACACAAAGGAAGGAAGUGAGGGGUAGGAAUGUUUCCCAUGACCCUACUAUUCGCUGAAAACCUUUGAUACAAGGUAAGGGGACAACUCGGGGACUUGGUGGCAAACACCAUCAGUACUCGCAGCUUUAUCCUUAUCGAGUAUGUGCCAUAAAAAAAAAGAAGAAGAAAAAAGAUGAUCAUUGUGCGAAAAGAAUAAGUCUGGGGGAGAGAAAAAGUACCAAAGUUUGUAUGGCUGAUUUGUUUGAGUACAGAAUGGGAAAGAAUCUAGAAGGUUCUGGGCAUUGGAAUCAUCAGUGAGAUCCAGCGAUGAGGGUUUAUGGACGAUGUUGUGAAAUUUUGGACUUAAUCUGGAAAGUUGUGAAUGUCUGCGGAGAAGUACAUGGUGGUUCGAUUUGGAAUGAUGAAGCAGUAGUUGAGUUGCAGGGUGAUCGGUCAAAGCGAUGUUCCAAUGAAAGGUUGAGUCUCUGUGUUUUCAAACUUCUUUCUCUUGUUUGGUGUUCUGUUUGCUUGAGGGCAAGCAAAUGCUAAGUCUGGGGGAGUUGAUAUGUCAUGGUUUUUAUGGUUUUUAACCAUGGUAUAAGUCCUAUUUAUAGAGUCUUUUUAGUGUCUUUCGAGUCUUUUGGAGUCUUUUCAGGUCAUAGGUACGUUUGGAGCUUAACUGGAGACUUUGGAGCACUUUGGAGCUUAAUCAGGAUCAAUUUCGUCAAGAAUGGAUUUUGUGCUUUGGUGACGCUCGACACCAUGGAGAGUGACGCGCGACACUUGUUAGAGAAAUAAGGAAAAGGCGAUUUUGUUUCCUAUUUGAAGAAGGAGUUGGGCCCAAACGUUUUCGAGGAAGCCCAAGACGUGUCUUAGAGAUAUAUAUAGGAUUUGUAUUCCCUUUUUACGUUCACUUUUAGAUUUUGAGAGAGAGAUACUCUGAGUUUUCGGCUUUUGCGAUUUCUGAGCUUGGGGAGACAAGUCUGUACUCUGUUUGUUUAGAGAGAAGAUUUUGAACCCCUUUAUCUAUUUCGAUUUAAUCUAUUGCUUUCUAUUCAUCAUGCUUGUUGUUUCAAUAACCAUGUCUGAGUAGAUCACCUGUUAGGUUUAGGGUUAAUUAGGGUUUUCUCUGAAUGUUUGAUUAACUUGCUAGUUAGGGUUCAUAUCUAUUUGUUCUUCACCUUAGGUUGUUCUUAAAGCUAAUUCUGGACUGAUCACCUAGAAUUUAGAUCUUAGGUUGCUUAAUUGACACGGAAGUGUAAUUGAAUAACUAGAAAGAACCUGAGUUGAGCAAAGUAGCUAUUCGCAAAGGAAUUUGGUUUAGCCGCUUUGUGAACAUAUCGAACUUGUGCAAUUAAGGCUGGUUUAAAUCUGUAGGAUUUACAAAGGAAUUUGGAAUUCUAGGAUUUUAACUUAGAUAAUUCUCACAACGGAAGUUGGUUAAUUAUAGUUCUGUGUUUCGAGUUCAAGAACCGUGCUUAAUACCUGAACCCUGACUUGUUAAGUUGAUUUGCAUUCAUUGAUCUCCUGAAAAUUACCCUAGGCCUAUCCUUUAUCACAUCGAAUUUACAACUGUCUUCAUCGCUGCUUUAUUUAUUUUUGUCGCAUUGUUAUUUCUUCUGCAUAUUUCUGCUUAGCGUAACUCUAUCUACAUAAGGUUUAUUGAGUGAUCUCUUGUCUCUGUGGUUCGACCCCUAGAUACUACAACUGCACAUCUGUGCUCUUGCAGAGUAGCUUAGGGAUUAAACUUUGAGCAUAUCACCAGGCACACAAAUCUCUGUGGAUUCGAUCCCUAAAUACUACAACUGAUUAGCUGUGCACUUGCGGCUUUCAUUUGUUUUGUUAAGGGUAAAACUUGUUCCCUCACGUAGUUGACACGAGCGAGCACGCAUCAAUAACACUGCUGGUUCUUUACCAAAGUGCAGCCCAUAACUCGUAGUGUAUCGCAAAUAGUUCAACACCCUAGUUAUUGCUUUCCAAUGAGUAUGACCUGGAUUACUUGUGUAUCGACUUAACACGUUUACCGCAUGCGCUAGAUCGGGUCUUGUACAAUUGGUCAAGUACAUCAGACUUCCAAUUACCCGUGCAUACUCCACCUGUGAUACUGGUUCACCUGUGUUCUUGGUUAGGUGAGCUUGCAUAUCCAUUGGAGUUUUUGCGGUUCCAUUCGAGUAGGUCUUAAACCUCUCUAGGAUCUUUUCAGCAUAGUGAUCUUGAGACAGAGUAAUUCCAUCUGAAGUUCGAAUGAUCUUAAUCCCAAGUAUGACAUCUGCAAGUCCCAUGUCUUUCAUGUCAAAUUUUCCAUUGAGCAUGUUCUUGGUUUGUUGAAUGAUAUUUUUGUUACUGCCAAUAAUCAGCAUGUCAUCUACAUACAGACAUAGUAAGAUGUAUCCGUUUGGAGUACAUUUGUAGUAGAUGCAUUUAUCACAUUCGUUAAUGCUGAAACCAUUUGACAUCAUCACAUUGUCAAACUUUUGUGCCAUUGUUUUGGAGCUUGUUUCAGUACAUACAGUGAUUUCACGAGUCUACACACUUUGUGCUCUUGACUCUUAACCUCGAAACCUUCCGGUUGUUUCAUGUAUAUCUCUUCUUCUAAAUCACCAUUUAGAAAGGCAGUUUUAACAUCCAUCUGAUGGAUUUCCAAGCCUCGCAAGGAUGCUACACCAAUCAAUAUUCUGAUCGAAGUUAUUCUCGUAACUGGAGAAUAGGUGUCAAAGAAAUCUAGACCUUCUUUUUGUCUGAAUCCUUGCACCACAAGGCGUGCCUUGUACUUAUCUAUAGAACGAUCAGCUUUCAGCUUGGUCUUGAAGAUCCAUUUACACCCUAGUGCUUUGAACCCUUGAGGUAAGUCAGUUAUCUCAUAGGUAUGAUUCUGCAUUAUAGAACUCAUCUCACUAUUGACAGCAUCCUUCCAAUAAGGAGCUUCUGGUGUAGACAUGGCUUCUGUGUAAGAUCUCGGUUCAUUCUCGACAAGAAAGACCAUCAUGAAAUCUUCACCAAAAGAUUUUUUCUUACGAGCUCUUUUGCUUCGUCUAGGUUCAUUUUCAACCUGUUCUACUUCCAUCUCAUUUACAGAAGUAGUCACAUCUCUUUCUUCACGAGUGCCUUGAUUCCAUGAUAGUAUUCACUUGGACAUCUGAUACAUCUAACUUAUGUACCAGAAAUUGAUAAGCACUACUAUUGUGAGCAUAUCCAAUAAAGAUACAGUCCACAGUCUUAGGUCUAAUUGUGACCUUCUUUGGAAGUGGCACUGCGACUUUUGCUAAGCACCCCCACACUUUCAGGUAUUUGUACGAAGGUACAUUACCUUUCCAAAGUUCAUACGGUGUUUUGCCAGUUACCUUACGAGGUAUUUUGUUGAGGAUAUAAUUUGUGGUGAGCAGUGCUUCCCCCCCCCACAGAUUCUGGGGUGUCCCAGAUUCCUGCAAUAUUGCAUUCAUCAUCUCCUUCAGAGUUCGAUUCUUUCUUUCCGCAACUCCAUUGGAUUUAGGUGAAUAGGGGGCUGUAGUUUGAUGGACAAUUCCAUUUAUCUUGCAAAACUCAUUGAAAGGUCCAUCAUAUUCUCCACCCCUAUCACUUCUGACCAUUUUGAUGGUCUUUGCCAGUUGCUUUUCAACUUCGAGUUUGUACUCUUUGAAUUUGUCCAAGACUUCAUCUUUACUACUCAGCAAGUACACGUAGCAGUACCUUGUACAAUCAUCAAUGAAAGUCACAAAAUACUUUUUACCACCUCUUGAUGGUAGAUAUUUUAAAUCGCAUAUAUCAGUGUAUAUUAAUCCAAGAGGUUCAGUAGUUCUUUCAACAUGAGGUGAUGGUGUUUUUGUGAGCUUUGCUUGGACACAAAUUUCACAUUUGUCUUUGCUAAUUUUGCACUUUGGAAUCAUGUUCAAAUUCAUCAGUCUUUGAAUGGACUUGUAAUUAACAUGUCCUAAACGUUCAUGCCAAAUAUUAGAAGACUCAACCACAUAAGCAACUGGGUUUUUAUUAAUUAAAUCUUUGAAAUCAUGUACAACUUUGUUUUUCUUCAAGAUUGUCAUUACAGACAUUUUGAUCAAUCCGGACUUAACAUAACCUUUUCAUAUGAAAACACUAUUCUUCCUAAGUAUCAGCUGGUCAGACUCAAAGUUGAUUGCAAAACCAUGCUUGCUCAUUAGAGUACCAGAGAUCAGGUUCUUCCUCAUGUCUGGAACAUGCUUCACGUUGUUGAGAGUAACCUCCAUGCCUGAAGUCAUCUUCAACACAACUUUUCCAGUACCUUCAAUCUUGGAUUGGGAAAUGUUUCCCAUCUUCAGUUGAUCAUCAAUCUUGCACUUCUGAUAGGUACUGAACAUUUCUCUGUCAAUACAGAUGUGUGUGGUAGCACCUGUGUCAUACCACCACACCUUGGGGUUCUCUUCCACCAAGUUAGCCUCUUGCUUGCGACAGGGCCUUUUGCUUGUAAGCAAGAUAGUUCUGGAAGUAUGCCCAACUUGGAGGUAACUUCUCAAUGAAGCAGUUCACCGUGAAUGUCUCACAUAACUUCAUUCCUUCAGUCCUAAUCUCUUGAAAGAUUAGUUCCAGCUCGUGCACUUGUGGCAUGAUGGGACGAGAAUCCACCAUCUUAAACUUGAGGAGUUUCGCAGUAGCGAAUUUCCCAGAGCCGACAUUGUACGACUUGUACUUCUUUUCCAAAGCAUCCCAGAGUUCUUUGGAAAUUUUGACCUCACUGUACACAUCAAACAGCUGGUCCACCAGGCGAUUCUUGAUGUGCCCUUUGCAUAGGAAGUCUGAGUUCUUCCAUGCUUCAACGGUAGCCAGAAUCGUAGCAUCUUUGUUUCCUUCUGGCACUGUUGGGGGAUCCUCUGUGAGGUACUUGCUCAGCUGCAUUGACGACAGAAAGAAUUGCAUCCUUUCUUGCCACUGCUUGAAGUUCGAACCAUCGAACUUGUCAAGAUGAAGUUCUGCGGUUACCGACGCUGGCAUUCUGACUUCACCCGAGCUUCCAUUGGUAGUCAUGUCGACAUCACCGUUAGUCAUAGUUGAAUCUGUUCACAGAAGAUAACCGAAGUUAGUAUUGAGAACCAAGAUUCAAAUCAGCGAUUAAGACGUUUAAGUCGCUAUGAACAGCGUUUUUCCGAAAAUGAUUCGCUUUGAGUUUCCACAGAUAUUACCAAUAGGUAUUCUUAGAACUCGAAAAUAGGUGUUCCCAGAAUCAUCUUUUGAUGACAUUCUUAAACCCUAACAAUUUUUUCGGACCUGUCUAUGACUGCCGCAUAAACCGUUUCAGAAGAUUCGUCUUUAACAGAUCAAAAGUUCUACGAAAUAGCUAAGAAACUUUCUCAGAAACUUUGUAGAUCGAUUUUAAAAACUCGCUUUUCCAAAAACCGUUUAUAAAAACUGUUUCGCAAUAUUCAAUCCGAUUCAAGCGAUAAGCAGGAAGCGGAUUUAUUGAGUUAAGAUUGUAGGACCGCAAAAAUCCGAUUGAAAUCACGAAUAGAAAAUAGCAAUAUUAUAAACGAUAUGUUAAGGUAAGAGAUUAAAACGAGAGUUUGAAAACCGAUUGAAAACAGACGAACACACGGAGUCGAGAUAUGAUCUCUUUCCUUAACUCAAUAAAUUGUCCGUAAUGUGUGACGGUUUGUUGCGAUUUUUGAAUCCCAGGAUACAACCGUGAUGAGACUAUUACGCAACACGCGUAAUAGAAUCUGCGAACUGAGAUUAUACUACGCUAUAGCUCUCGAGACACUUACGAUAUUAAGACGAGAGGGAUUUGCUAGAAAUAAUUAUUUGCUGUGUGUUUGGUGUAUUCGAGAAUUCGAUUUUUCAUUCGAUGAUCUAGAAUGAGAGAAGAGGGCGUCUAUUUAUACUGGAAGGUUCAGCUUGAUCCGCAAGGAAUAAGCUUUGGCAAAAAGGAAUAUUCACGAGAUAUUCUCCUUUUUCCGCAAGUAAAAGGAUUCGGAAAUCUUCCGUUAUUAUCUGGACGCAAUCUUUUAUUUCCUAAGAUUUAUCCUUUCAAUAUGCAAAAAAAUAUUUCGCAGGAACUAAGAAGCCCACGACCCACACCCAGCUAUAUAGAGCCCAAGAGCCCAAAAGUCCUAAGAGCCAACUAAAAAAAUGCAACAAGCAACGAGCAACGAGCCCGGCACCGGCGACGGCGGCGGCGCGCAUAGGUAUUUUUGCAUAAUGCCCUUUUACUUCCACAAUGCUGUUGAUCCUUAUUGUGAGAAGGCCAUAUAUAUACAAAAUAUUUUUCUCCUUAGUGAGCAAUGUGGGACAAAUACACUUCCACUAAACUUCCAUUUUUAGUUAUAGCCAAUAGAAACAUUUCAUUUCUAUAGGCUCAAACUCAAAUCUCAAAUGAAUUUAUAAGACUCAUUUGCUUAUUAAAUUUCAUUUCUUAUUCACACACAAACUUAAUAUUACAAGUCCAAAUAUUUAUUAAUAUUAGGUUCAACAAAAGACACUAAGACAAAUCGGAGUGUUCAAAGUAUUAGAGGAGUUGAUUUCAAGGUCUUGUUCUAGAAGAACAGAGGUUGUAAGUUCAGAACACUUGGAACGUCUCUUCAAUAUAUUAUUACCCAUUAAUGACAUCCUAUGAAAUGGAUCCGUAUACUGAAAAGUCUGAAAUAGAAAAAAGAAUAGUUGAUGAUAAAGGGCAGGCUAAAGAAGUGGAAUUGACAAUUUCUGUCAUGUCUAAGAGUAGAAAGUAUAUAAAAGCUUUUAAGAAAAGACUUGAUGAAUGGCAGGAAGAAUAUGACCAGGGAGUUUUAUAAAGCUGAGGAUGAUGAAAAAUCGAACAUACAAAGUAUUUAGCCAUGUCUAAAACCAGAAUAUCCUACUGCCAAAUCUGUUGGGUAGUAGAACUUUUCUAGUCAAUGCAGUGGCAAAUCGAAUAUGGGGGAAGAAGUGUAAGAUUUUUUCUCGAAAACUUGGUGAAACUUCUUAUAUGUUUCAUAUUCCGGACGCACCAACUAGAGCUUGGGUUCUACAACGAGGUUUAUGGCACAUAGAUGAUUGUAUCACGUUUUUUGUUGCUCCAUGGACUUCUGCUGCCACUUUAAUAUAUAUUUUUAUUGUCCCAUUUAUUUCUUGCUGAACAAGAAACCCAAAUGUGGAAAGAAAAGAAGAAGAAAUUGUUUGUGAUUUGAUCCUUUGAAGAGAUCAAUACACAUGUUUUUACAUUUUUAAAUAAUAAAAUUAAUCCACCAAACACAUGCCUGACUUUUCUAAUAUUUUUUUACUAUGUUGUUCCAAUUUGUAUUUGUUGGGUAUAUGAUAUAUCAUGAUGCAAAUGGAGAGUAUCAGUCUAAAUAAGGGUGCAUACUUCAAGCUAACCUAUAGCAAACAUGUAAGAAUCUCAGAGAUGAAAAAAAAAAACAACUCAAGCGGAAGAGUAUAAGAGAACUGAUUACCAGAUGGAUUAAAGGCAAGAAACGUUUUUUGGUAUCUUUGUCCUCCCAUUCAAACUCAGUUAUCUCUUCUCCAGGACCCAUAUCUAUUGUAAACCAGGCAAUUCGUGGGACACUUGUAGCAUCUAAGGGAAGCUUUCUCAGCUGUGGACACUCUUCUACUGUUAAUUUUUGCAAUAACAGUAGAUACUCUCCAGCUUAAGCAAAUUUCUUAUCGAAAACACUUCUAGUUUCUGAAACGGUGUAAUACCUCUAACUGUAAGAUUGACUUCUUUCUCUUUGCUUAUAAUAAUAUCUUCUACUUCUUCUGAAUAUCCACUUUGUAGGUAGACGACAAGGUUUGGAGCAAACAGUGGAUUUCUAAGUUCUCUAGUUUGGGAAAUUUCGUGGCUUAUGAUGAACAAGUUGGGGUUUGCUGAAUUUGAGUUCUGGUUUAAUCAAGACUGGUUAUAUCAUUAAUUCUUUAAGCCAGUUAAAGCAUUAUUAUGGUUCUGUUUUGGAAGUGGGUUCACUGACAUUGAUUUUUUUGUUUUGUUUUAUAAUUUAAUUCAUUUUCAUAGAUGAAACUGAAAGGUUACAAAUUACAAUGAUUCCCCGCAGGGUUACAGCGCAAAUAAACCUCAGACCGGUGAUCAUGUAUAAGCUUUCCAGCAGUCAAAUCCCAUACCUAUUGGAUAUGAUCAAAUAUUAUAUCAAUUGUUAGAAACACAUACGUUGGGGAAAAGAGAAUGCGCAAGAUCCAUUUAUAGAUAUUGCAGGCUUACCUUUACAACAUUGUCAAGUCCUCCAGUCACUACCCAACGACCAUCGGGAGUAAAUUUGAUAGUGUUGAUGCCACGAGUAUGACCCUUGUACGUCUGUAUGCAUCCCUUCUUUCUGAUGUCCCAAAUCUUCAAAUUCGUGUCACUUGAUCUAUGAUGCCAAAAAUUCACCAAACGGAUGACAUUCAACAGCAGAACAGUUGGAUCUAUGUCCAGUAAAAGCUCGAACCACUACACUUCAAGAGCAAGAGUGAACAUGUUAGACCUCAUAAUUCUAAAGUAAACGAUAGAUAUGGUGUGGUACACUGCUCAAAUAUCAGUAUCUCUAUAUGUUCCCAUUUGAUGGAACUAGCUAGGCAUAAAAAACAAAACACACUUUUUGCUCAACGAGGAAAAAUUUAGACAAGAGAGAAAAUGUGAAACAUACCAUUAAAGAAGUAGGCUUGCCGAUCGCCCAAAGGUUGACCUUGUAAUCAUCACCACCAGUAAUAAGGACCCGUAAUGUCUUCUUUCCAAUAUUUAAGCAAUUUACAUUUGCGGAAUGUGCCAAAACUCCUCUAAGUUUCCAAAUUUGUCAAGGUAUAAGCAAACACCAGACAAGAACAGCUAAAGAAAGGAGCAGCCUUUGAAGCAACUCGACAGCAAAACAUAAAGCAGGUCAUAAAUGGAUAGAAGUACUUUCACAUACAAAACAUAUCCAGAAAAUAUCCAUUUUCUAUCAUAUUGAGCAGCCAAUGAUAGAAACAUUUGACCCGGUAAUUUCUGCUGAAAUCUUGAAAUGCUAAUCAAAACUUGAAGCUUAUCUUGAAAUCUUGAAAUGCUAAUCAAUAGCAAACUAAGCUUUGCUCUUGGGAGUUUCUAAAGAUAAAGCCCUAACGAUUCAGUGAUAUAAAAAAAAAACGACAAAAAAAUCUCAGGAUGGAGCUAAAAAUCCAGAGUUCGUUCAAUUUUACUCAGCUUAAGAAUCAACAAAAUCGCCAGGAAUAUAAAAGGAUACGCAGCUUAUAUCCACGCUUCGCCAUUUUCUACUCGAUUCCCAGCAAAUCCGUGGGAAUCAAUGCAAUCCGAAUCCGGAAUCGAAUCUCUAGCUUCCGUUAUCGAUCUUAAAAACGGUGAAUCGGAGCUGAAAAAAAUUCCCAAUUGUCACUACACGACAGAGCUCGAGAUUUUCGGGAGAUUCAAAGGGAGAAACAUGAAGAAGAAGGAGGUUGCUUCCCGUUGGGAAUUCAAAUCUAAAACGUGAGAAAAGAAUCAAAUUCCGGGAACAAGAAUUUUGAAGGAAACGAGAUAAUCAGAGAUUCAAAUAGUGACACGGAGCAGAAAGAAGAAAAGAAACAGAAGAGAAGAAGAAAAAUGGUAAACCGAAGGAAGUUUUUAUUUUAUUUUUUUUCUUCAGAGUUAUACAUUUUUUUAUUUUUUUAUUUAUAGUUCGGUCGGUCCUUUUUUUAAUUUUUAAUUCAGAUUUUUAAGCAUUUUUCUUGGACAGUGGACCUCAUUUCUUCGUUGUUCGUUCUUCUCAGUUCUGACGGAAAUAUCAUUUUGUCCAGGCAUUGAAAUGAAUAUGAAGUUAUGAAAAUACCCUUGCUUUUAAUUGACUUCUAUUGGUUACAGUUUUUUGAUUUUUUCUCCAACUCCUUCAUAAUUAAACAUUUUUUAUGUUGUCAAAUAUUAUUCGAUAGGUGAGGAAACACUUCAUCAUCUCUUGGGUUUGUUUGUUUCUAUUGUCAACCUUAUAUAUAAAUAGGGUAAAUGUUUUGUUUGAUAAGACGUAAUAUUAUACAAAUAUAACACUUAAAUACUCGAAUCAAAUAGAUAAAUAGAGAAUUUUGAAUCGAAGCCUAUACAUAGUGUCUAGAAAAUCAAUAGAAACAUUUAAAUGAUUUAGAACCUUUAAACGAUUUAGAUAUUAAAAUCAAUUUUCAAAAAUAUUUACCAAAACUUUGUGGAUGAAAGAUGUUUUGCACAAUAUUUCGAAAAUUGAAACUGGACUAAAUUAUGUAGGAAAGAAGAAUCUACGACCGAGCUAACAAACACCCGAACACGAAACUCAUUAUGAUUAAACAAAUAUCAAACCUUUUUUUUUUUCUGACAUUUAUAUCAUGUUUUUCUAGGUCGGUCAGUUUCUAUGGUGCUUCUCAUCUUUAGAUGCUUUAGUAUUUCUCUUACAAUUAUGUUCAUUGUAUUUAGUGGUUGGAUGAUUUACUUUAAGAUUAGAAUACUAAGAUUUGAAUAUUCAUACAACAAUUUCUACUGUAGUUGAAAAAAACAAAGUAUAGCAAAUUGAACACAUUAUUGAAACACAUGUUAGGAAUCUUAUACUGAAAAUUUGAUAGAACCUAAAGUAAUAUAUAAGUGAAACGGAUCAAUCUGCACCAAUUACUUUUAAGUCAGAACCCAUAAAACAUAUUGUGGUAGCGGAACCCAAAUUUUGUUGACUUACGGUAGUAAUAUAUAAGUGAAAUUAAUCAAUAUGCUAAUUACCAGUUACUUUUAAAUAAGAAUAUCAUAACGUAAUGUGAUAGCAUAAUCCAAAUUUGUUGAUUUAAGUAGGAUAGCCCGAAUAAGAAAUAUUGUAGUUCGUGUAUGGCAUACUGCAAAUCUUAGAAUAUGUUUUGGUUUGAGUCUUCAAGAUGUGCUAGAUAGUUAUCAUCUAAAGGAAAUGGACUUAAAGAACUAUAUAAGAGAUACACUCAUAAUUCAUAUAUACCAGAAUCCAUUUUAUUGCCAAUUUUUUUUAGUUAGGAAUUAUAACCAAUGUUCAAAAAAUCGGCCUCAUAGAACUAUAUAAGAGAUACACUCAUAAUUCUUAUAUUGAAAUCAACAAAUCUUAGAAUAUGUUUUAUUUGUAUUUUUAGUUAAAAAAAACAAAGUAUAGCAAAUUGAACACAUUAUUGAAACAAAUGUUAGGAAUCAUAAGUUAGAACCUAUAAAACUUAGAAACAUAUAUCAUGAUAUAGAAUCAAAGGUCAUCUCACUAAAAAUUAUUAUGCUCACAUAUGGUUUAGUGAUUCAAAAAAAUAAAUAAUCAAACAUACGAAUUAACCAAAAUAUAGUCUUAAAAGUUUUAGGUCUGCUAAAAUGUUUUUUUUUAAAGGUGUUACUAUGCUAAGAGCAGGUCCAUUGGAGUAUGAUAUCUAGAAAAAGGCCCAGUAUCAUAGGCAAAUCAUUUAAAAUAAAUAAGAAAAAAGCCCAAUUGUUAUCAACCCGUUUGCUAUUUAGCAGACUUAACAUCUCGUAUGUUAAGACAGGUGGCUGCAGCGGAUUGGUUAAAAAAAUUUAAGCGUUUUUCCGAAAACUGCCCUUCUCUUCCACGACUUGUCAUUUUUUCGAACAAUCACUUUUUCUUUCUUCUGGGUUUCUCUCGCAGCCACCGGCGAUUUCUCUGUGGUUAUCGAUUUCGGCCCCGUUUACGUCAGUUUCAGCUAGGAUUCGACGGUGGAAGACUGCUCAAGGUAAGACCGAACUCUAUCUCUUCGAUUUUUUUAUUGUUCGGUCGAAAUUUGUAAAUUAGGGUUUCGUAGAUUUGGGGAUUUUUAAAAUUUCAUGUUCGGAUCGAUUGAAAAUGGCGUUUUCGGUUUGAAAUCUGUGUGUUGUAGCAAUUGAUACAAAAGAAUGAAUCCGAUUUGAUGGGUUUGUGGUAGUUUGCUUUUAGGGUUUCUGUGAUUUGGGGAAAUCGGUUUUGAAGGUAGGAUCCAUUGAAAUUUGGGUUAGUGUGGUGUGUGCGGUUGUUCUUCGAAGUGAUACAAGUUCGAUGAUGGCAAUAUGUGUUCGAUUCCUGUACUUGGAUAAAGUUGGUUGAUAUCGGUUUGUGUUCUCGAAUUUUGAUCACUUUACCUGCUCUUGAAUCAGCUGUAGUCACUUGAUAACUGUUCUUUUCGAGUUAUGUGAUGUUGGUUUAUCGUUGCAAAUGUUUAUGAGUUAUGUGAUGAAUGAAUAUUGACUAUCGAUGUUUAAGUAUUGAUUGUUGAGUUUUGUGGUUUAGAUAUGUUUUGAUAUGAAUGUAUAUAUGGCUGUUCUGUCUGAAAUGGAUAAGGUUAGUUUAGUUGUUUAUAUUACAUGGUCUGACUACAUUGAUAUCUGUUUAUGACAGAUAAUGCCGAGUCUCCCAAGUGACACCUCUUCCGAACCUGAAGUGGACCUUAGCUGGGCAUAUGCGGAUGCGACGUUUGGCAUCGCAGAGAAAUGCUUUUGUGGGCGACGAAUGAUAUUGGAGUCAAUGACCGGUGCAGGACCAAACUUACCAGGCCGCAAGUACUAUACUGCCCGGACUGGCUUGAAGAGGUAAUGGACAUAAUUUGUUGUUUUUAUGUACUAUUGUGUUGUUUUUAAUGGACAUACUGUGUGGUUUUUAUGUACUAAUGUGUUUUUUGUUUCUGAUUAAGGGACACCGCAUUCAUCAUCACCGCUGGCAGUGGUGGGAUGAGGCGGUAACCGAGCAGCUCUCCAUUGUGGACUCGACGCUAAGAGAGCAUAAGGAGAUGCUGACAAGGAUGGGUCGGAGUCCGUUUGAUCCAACCAUUGGGGAGAUAAACGCAGCGGUCAGAGUCCUCCAAGCAGAAGUGGGUAGACUUAAGGAACAGAAACAAGGUGAAGGGUUUGUCACCUUGUUUUUUAUUUUUGUUAUUGCAGUAAUCUCGUACUUCUUUAAGUAGGUGUAGCCUCGGUUUAGCUAUGUUCGACUGGUUAACAAUGGUUUAUUUUACUCCAUACGAGGAGUUAACUAUGACAACCUUGUUAGAUUGUCUUUAUUUACGGUACUAGGACUUCAAAACUUGUAAUGGUAUGUUAUGGAGCUAUGAAGCUAUUAUGAUAUGAAGUACUCUAUUUAAUGAGUUGGUUGAUGUAUUGAUUGUUGUGUUUGUUUGAUGUAUUAAGUUAGUUUUAAUGCUUUUUGUGAGGUUAAUGGUGGACCAAUCGAAAGAACCAAGUAAAGCUUCAGGUUCAUCAUUAUGUUAAGGUCAGUCUUCUCUCUUCUUCGUUUGCUUUAGUAGUCCAUUAGGAUUGUGAUAAAUUCUUGAUGACUUUAUUAGGUAAAUGUCUUUCAUAUUAAUGAUCGUAAAUUUAGGGUUGGUUUGUAAAAAGUAAAUGCUUUGUGUUAAGCCUUUUGCUUUCUAUCAUAUCAUAUCAAUGCCAUAGUUAUUACUAAAACCUAAACUUCUUCAAUAUUUUAAAAGUAGUAAAGACUUAAACUUAAACUUCUUCUAUAUUUUAAAACUUCAAAGACUUGAACUUAAACUUCUUCUAUAUUUUCAAACUUCAAAGACUUAAACUUCCAAAUCGUAUCCUUCUUCUUUCAAAACUUCAACUUCGCCUUCUACUUCUAAACCCCAACCUGAAACUCACUCACUUAUGGAUAUCCCUAACCCCUACCAAAAUGGUGAAGGUUUUGUUAACCUCUUAACAAGCCAGCUAGUUAAUGAGGUUAAUGCACCAACUAUCGACCUUCGAUCAGCCGACCUCCCACAUUUCAGUUCACAAGUUUUUGGGGAACCAACUCAAGGAGGCAGGAAUCAGGCGGAGCGAAGGAAAUGGACGCCAAAGGAAGACCUGGUUUUGAUCAGUGCCUGGUUGAAUACAAGUAAGGACCCGGUGGUUGGUACAGAUCAGAAAAAUACAGCCUUCUGGAAACGGAUUGUCGAUUUGUUCAACUCCUGUCCGGAUCUAGUUGGUCAGCCCAGAAGAGAGGUUAGCACCUGCAAGCAGAGAUGGGGACGUAUCAAUGACCAUGUCUGCAAGUUUGUUGGGAGUUAUCAAGCCGCCACGAAGGAGAAGAGCAGUGGCCAAAACGAUAACGAUGUCAUGAAAGCUGCUCAUGACAUCUUCUAUAACGACUAUGAGAUGAAGUUUACCCUAGAGCAUGCAUGGAGUUUACCCUUAACUCAGUUAUGCGAUGUUGGUCAGUCGUUAGUUUGUAUUAUUUUGUUCUCUUUGAUGUUAUUUGCCAUUUCGUAUGUUUGUAUGAUGAUAUUUGGUAUGGGUGUAUUGAGUUUUCUUUAAUUUUUGCUUUUUCAGGUCCUCAAUGAUGGCUAGGUGGAGUCACUUUAUGAAGUUUACGUCGUUGUGUGACCAGAAUAUUAUCAACUUGUGGUUGUCAUGAAAGUAUUUUGGAAUUUAGCACUUUAUAUUUCACGAGAUUUCAUUUUGUGGAUGUAGUGUAAUUGUAUUUUUGUGCACUUUGCAAGUUGUAAAACCCGUGACUCAAAUACUUCUCAUUUAUAUACAGUCUUUACUUCUUCACAUUCUUCACCAAAUUCUCAAAAACACAUACUGAAAAUCUCUUUCUACCAAACCACAAACUGCGUUCUGUCAUAAAUUUUUUUUCAAUAUAUAGCAAACACAAACACCAAACUAUGGCAUCUUCCUCAAACAACGAUUAUGAUGAUGAUUUUGAAGACGCGUUUGAUGGCAUAUUUGAUCAAAAAUUUGACGAGGCUGUCCAAGAAGUUCUAGACCGUCAAACAAGAGCAAAGCAGAAGAAGAAGCGUGCGUACAUUGAAAGGGAACGCGAACAAGGCCACAACCGUCUGUGGAAUGAUUAUUUCGCUGAAGAUGCAACAUAUCCUCAUCAUCUUUUCCGUCGCCGUUUUAGAAUGAACAAGGACUUGUUCUUGCGCAUUGUUCAUCGCCUAUCUACUGAAGUUCCAUACUUUCAACAAAGAAGAAAUGCGGCUGGCAGAUUUGGUCUUUCCGGUUUACAAAAAUGUACAGUAGCUAUCCGUAUGAUGGCAUACGGUUGUGCGGCUGACGCAUUUGACGAAUAUCUUCGUCUAGGUGCAAGUACUGCGUUGUUAUGUUUGGAAAACUUCACUGAAGGAAUAAUUAAUUUGUUUGGUGAUGAAUACUUGAGAAGACCCACUCCAGCCGAUCUCCAACGCCUCCUCGAUGAAGGACAAUCACGGGGAUUUCCCGGGAUGAUUGGAAGUAUUGAUUGUAUGCAUUGGGAGUGGAAGAAUUGUCCAACCGCUUGGAAAGGACAAUAUACGCGUGGUGCUGGAAAACCGACAAUCGUCUUAGAGGCAGUAGCAUCCUACGAUCUUUGGAUCUGGCACGCGUUCUUUGGGCCUCCAGGUACAUUAAACGAUAUUAAUGUACUUGAUCGUUCACCUGUUUUUGAUGACAUAUUACAAGGUCGAGCUCCAAAAGUGCACUACUGGGUUAACGGAAAUGAAUAUCGUUUGGCGUACUACCUUACGGAUGGCAUUUAUCCUAAAUGGGCAACUUUCAUCCAAUCAAUCUCACUUCCUCAAGAUCCUAAAUCUACGUUAUUUGCUACACGUCAAGAGGCAGUCCGCAAAGACGUCGAACGUGCUUUUGGAGUUCUCCAAGCUCGGUUUGCGAUUGUAAAAAACCAUGCUCUUUUCUGGGAUAAAGAAAAAAUUGGCAAGAUUAUGCGAGCGUCAAUCAUUUUGCACAAUAUGAUUGUGGAAGACGAACGAGGUACCCACACUUUAGUAGAUACAACACAAUUUGAUCAAGUUGAAGGAACUAGAACUUCACAUGUGGAUAUGACAUAUUCUACAAAUAUGUCUACAAAUCUGAACAAUGUGAUCAGCGAUCGAAUUCAAAUCCGAAAUGAAGUUCGGGAUAGGACAAUGCAUCUUCGAUUGAAAGCCGAUUUAGUGGAACAUAUCUGGACCAAAUUUGGUACUUUUGAUAUUUAGAUAAAUAUGUUAUGUAUUUUAAAUAUCUAUAGUAUUUAUGUUUAUGUUUUUAUUUUUUUUGUAAUGAUUCUAUUAAUAUGAAAGUUUUAAUUACAUAAAAAAAAUUUUAAAUUUGCAAAAAAAAAUUAAUUUUUUAUUCCUAACAACCUUUAUCUCGGGUUCACUAAUGGAAGCCCAAAUCAACCUCAGUAUCUUCACUGUUCACGUCUGCCAAAAGUAAUACUAUUUUAAUGUUAACAACCCCAUUAGUAGUAUGACUAAUGGACAUGCCCUAAGCUUCAAAUUGUAUUGUCUUCACUCUUCAGUAUAAGACUAAUGAAUAUUUAAUUUACAAUUUUGAAUUUUCUAAAUGGAGUAGGCCAAGAUCAGGCCCAAGCUAUAACCGCUUCCUACAGGCUAUUGAUGCAAUCAAAUGUUACAAAUUGCAAACGGCUAUUUGCAAUUUGUGUUCGCAUUGGUCCAUUGAAUUUUCUUUUUCUUUUUCUUUUUUAUAUCUUGUAUCGAGUCAUAUGGAAAUGGACAACACUCAGUUUAAUACUAGAUGCCCGGUAUCGGUUCUUAUCAGCUUCGCUGCUUUAUAUAUAGUCGCCGUCUGCAAGAAUCAUUCUGAGAAAUGCUAGACAAAAGUGAGAAAGACGAUUUCGUAAAAGAAAGAAGAUUGAGUUUUUCCAGAAACUACUCUACAAGAUUGUUGUAGUUUCUGGACACGCAGCUAUUUCAAACGACGAACCAAUGUUCAAGACCGGUGGGCGGUGAAUAAUUGUGCAUAUCAAUUAAGCUUGCGAAUUUUUUUUUUUUUUUUUUUGGCUGAAGAUUUGUUCUUGGGUUCUUGUUUUAAUGUUCUUAAUGUGGUGAAGCCAUUAAAAAAGGAAUGUGAAAACUCUUAAAAUUAAAAAGACUCUUUCCAUGUCUUCUUAAGUGAAGUUGUCUCUUAAGCUUAUUGCCCCCAAAUCAGAAAGCCUCUAGAUAUAGUUUGGGAUUAGAUGGAAGUCAUAGCAUCUUCAGAUUAGGUUUAGGGGGUUUAAAUUAAAGAGUCUGAAAAACAGGAUCUUCAUGAUUUAGCAAAAUCAUAUAACUUUUCAUCUUGAUUCCUCCGGUUAACAAUACAAACACACUGCAAGAUGAAAUAGAAAAAGCUACAGGUAGAGGAAUUUGAUUUUGAAUAGUGAGGAAUCAAAAUACACAGUAAAUUCAGAGGCAUCACAUGCUUUUAUGAUAUAUCCUUUCACGUAAAAGCAUAAAAACUGUUGAUUAUAUAAAUACAUGUAGCUUGAGAAAAAAGCAAUCCGCCUUAACUUAUUACAUAGAAAAAUGAAAACAGAAAAUCCAAUUGAACAACACAACACACUGCAGAGAGAUAAGAAUGCAUAGGAAAAAACAAUAAUACAAUCCAAUGAACAACACAUCACACUUUGAGGAAGAAAGAAAAGCAGAAGAAGAAGCGUGGAUUCUGGUUUCUGACUGUGAGGAAUCCCAAUCCAGCUUAAGGUAUGGUUAGUCAUACAGAACCUGUUAAGAAGAAAUAAAAUAAACAAAGUUAGUGAAUAUACAGAAAUUCAUCUAAAACUGCGAGGAAUAUCCAGCAAAUUCUGCCUCACCAUUAAUUUACUAAUUUUAAUCAGUUUCUAUUAAUUUACUAAUUUACGAAUGUGAGAGGAAACGAAGAAGAAAGAAAAUACUGUUUGUGAUUUAGUCAUUUGAAGAGCUCAAUGCACGUAUGUAUCUAAACUUUUGAAAUUAAUGACCCCUCGUAAAUAUCCAACAAACACAGGUCUGAUGAUUUUGCAGAUAAUUUUCUAAUUUUGUGACCCAAUUUGUGUUUUGUUGGGUAUCAUGAUGCAAAUGGAUCAUAUCAGACUAAAAAAAAAAACGAUCACACUUCAUUCUAACCUUGAGCAAACUUGAAAGAAACUCAGUAAGAUAAAUUAAUUUAUUCAAGCGGAAGAGAAUAAGAGAAAUGAUUACCGAAUGGAUUAAAGGCAAGAUACGUUUUUUGGUAUCUUCAUCCUCCCAUUCAAGCUCAGUUUUCUGUUCUUCAGGAUCCAUAUAUAUUCCAAACCGGUCAAGUCGUGGGACACUUGUAGCAUCAAAGGGAAGCUUUCUCAGCUUUGGACACUUUCUUACUUCUAUGCGCUGCAAUGAUGGAAAGGGGAGAGGACUCCAGUAGAUACUCUCCAGCUCAGGCAAAUUUAACAGGGAUAAGUAUACUAGUUUCUGAAAUGGUGUAGUACCUGUAAGAUUGGUUGCUUUCUCUUUGUUUAUGAUUUCUUCUAGUUCUCCUGAAUGUGAAAUUUCUAGCAAAGUCAGAUUUGGAGAAAGCAAUAGCCAAGUCAGAUCCUUAAUGCCAUGACAGCUAACCAUUGACACGACGGAGAGGUUGGUAAAGCAUGGACUUGUUGGAUUGUGUAAAUGAGAUGAGUCGGUCUUGCUUCCUCUGCAUUUAAUAUAUGUAUCAAUCGCCGACACAUGACUACCAUACACAUGGAGCACACUAAGAUUCUCCAUACUCAACAGCGAUGACAUUUUGAAUGGCUUUUCUUUAAAACGUUGAAUAUCCAGCCAACUGAUGCAGUUAGCCAACCUUUGAUCACCUAAUAUAUGCUUCAAACCCAACUCGGUAGAGAUCGUUAUCUCUAGAACUUGUAGAUGCUCCAAGAGCUGCAGCUCCUUCAACAAGCUAACAUCUCCAUGAACUUUAGAAUAUUUUAGUUUCAAAACUCUUAAACUCGACAGCUUUGAUAUCCCACUGAUACUACGAAGACUCUCUGUACCAGUCAAAUCCAGAUAAAUUAGCUUUUUCAACUCUUGGAAACCAACUGGCAGUUGCUCUAUACUUGUGUUCCACAAGUUAAGAUACUGCAAGGAGGCCAGCUUCGAUAUAUCCUCAGGAAGUUUUUUGAAAUAGCGAUUACGUGAUAGAUCCAAAACAACUAGCUUUUGCAUAGAGCCGAUGAAUUCACUUGAGAGAUUCUUCAAAUUAUUAAUGUGGAGGAACAGAGUUGUAAGUUCAGAACACUUGGAACCGCAUGUUAUCUCUUCAAUAUGAUUCUUCAUCAAAGACAUCCUUCUCACAGCUCCCCAAUCAUUGACUUUUGGCAUUUUGUAUAAUCCGACUAGUGCUUGAACGAAAAAAGUAUCGGAUGCAAUCCAUAGAGCCAUUUCGCGAAUCACGUCAUGCAUCACAACCUUUUCUUUUAUAUCAGAGAUAUUUGUCAGCAAAUUUGAGCGGAUAAGGGUACCAAGUAUCUCAUAACCCUUAUUCACUGUCCUUUUAUAAGAUUGGUCUUCCUUGAUGAAUCCCUCGCAUAUCCAGUACUCUAUCAAUUCUUCUUUAUCUAUAGGAAAAUCUUCCGGAAACAGAGCACAAUAGAGGAAACACGACUUGAUAUUUUCACCCACCAAGCUAUCGUAGCUGAACUUCAGAAUCGGAAGAAUUUUGUUUUCCAUGUCGGAAAACUCUGCAGCGGAUCUGGUCAAAACAUCUACUGCAAGCUCCCAUUCUUGCACCGUAGUUUUAUAUGACAUUGUCUCACCAAUGACAACAAGCGCUAGUGGCAGACCACGACACUUUUCAGCGACCUUUUUUGCAAGCUCGACAAUGGCAGGAUCUCUACUUAAUGUAUUGUCUCCUACCUUGCUUUUGAACAAUUCCCAUGCUUCUUCUUGUCCCAAACAGUCGACUUUCAUUGGCUCAUGAUCUCCCAUCCGUCCACAUACUUCCCGAGAACGAGUGGUGAAUGCUACUUUGCAUCCAUUUUCUCUGGUGGGAAAUGGAACUCCGAUGGCUUCUAAAUCCAAUUUCUCCCAUAUAUCAUCUAACAUCAGGACAAAUCUCUUCCCCUUCAAAACUCUUGUUAUAUCAGCGGCCUUGUCAUCUUCACUUUUGUUCGUUCCGCCAAGGUUUAGCUUUUGUGCAAUAUCAUCUUGAAGCUUUGAAAUAGUUGCACCUUGAGACACCACGACCCAGAUCACAACAUCAAAUCUACCAGCCAUUUCAGUGAACUUAUUGUGGAUUUUCUUGAAAAGGGUAGUCUUGCCUACACCACCCAUACCGUGCAAACCCAUGAUUCCAACUCCAUCUUCCAUAAGGCGCUUCCAUGCCUUUUCCAGCAUUGUUUCCUGACCAAUCGUAGGCCCAGUAGGCCUUUCUUCUACUGCAGAUCUCAAAACCGGCUCAGUAACCUCUUUAAAAUUACCCUCCGAUUUGAGUUUCUUAACCUCUUUCAGCAACAAGAAUACCUUUUUCCCAUAUUUGUAGCUGGAACAUACACUUUUUGAAGAUAAACCACAGAGACAUAACUUCUUAAGCUCAACAGGACUAGUACUAAGCAGAUUAUUGAAUCGUGUAUCGAUGCUCUCGACACGUGUUAGCCAUACCUUGACAGCUUCAAGCCUUUGUUGAUGUUGUGCCUCCUCUCUCGCUACUUUGUUCUUCACCUCAGCUUCAAUUGCCUUGAGAUCAUCCAUUUCCCUCUUCAGAGCCUUGAGAUUCUCCUUGAGGUUUCGAAUAUAACCCUUACCACAUAAGCAUCUAAAGAUACGAUUGAGAUCAUUACCAGUAAGUUGGAUAGGAUUACAACUCCCCAUGUCGAUAGAAAGAGAGAAAACUUUGAGUAAGCAACAAACGAAAGCUAAAGAUGAAGAAGUGUUUUAUGUGAAAAGCAUUUUACAAGUGACGAAGGCAUAUAUAAUUCCCUAUGGUGAUAAAAAAAUAAUAUUUUCUGAAGCUGAAGUAUGUCAAAAAUAUCAUUGGAGAUAAGAUAACACAUCUUUCUCCAAUACGGGUGGUUAGGAGAUUUUCCAAAGGAAAAAAAAAAAAAAUUGCUUACGAAAGACUUUGACUAUUCUAAUAUCCGACCAUAGAUUUUACGUGUGAAGACUUUGCUUAAACUUAUUUCAAGUCAACUAAAGUCCUAUCUUCUGCUCUUAUGUUCUUCGUUUGGCGCUUGUAGCUGUCAAUUUGUUAGCCAUGUUGGCUUUGUUAUUGUUUGUAAACAAUUCCUCCUCUAAUGGAGCGUAGCUAAUCUAUAAAAUCUCAUUAAAAGAAAACCCAAGUCUAAGGUUACAGAAACUUGGAUUGGUCAAUUAGUGGAGAUGAUUAUGUAAUGCAUUGUUUGUUAUGCCCAAAGUAGCUUACGAAGUGGAGUCUUUUUUUUUGCAUUGAAAUCCUAAACGAUUAUUGUGUUGUGCCCAUUCUAUUUCUUCGUUAGUCUCUCUGAAGUAGAAGAACAUACCUUCGAGUUAGACAUUGCCUGUUUAUGAUUUCACUUGGAUUCAUGUUUCUUUUUUAGCACUCUGUUGAGGAUUUCUUAUGUGCUACUUGGAACAAGUAUGGGUUUUAAUUCUUUAAGUUGCUCAUUAAUGGAGUUUUAGUGAGUGUAGAGAUUUUGAGUUCACUAAUUCGUAAAAGAAAUGCUUGACAAAAGUGAGGAAGACGGAUUCGUAAAAGAAAAAGAUUGAGUUUGCCACAAACUACUCCACAAGAUUGAUCCCGAUAGCUAAUUCAAAUAGUAUUUUGGAGACAAACUAUGAAACUAUGUUCAAGACCGGUGAAUAAUUGACCGUUGAGGGCCUUGAGGCUGGUGCAUGUAAUGUGAACCGUAAAAUACUGGUUCGAAUACAACGAUUUAAUUAGGAUUAGUGUCUUGUUGAAAAAGACUAUGGAAUGUAAAAUUCAAAGCCAUUAGAUUAAAAUCAUGCUCUUUAAAAAAAAAAUCAUAAAAACUAGGGAAAGUUUUAUGAAAGAGGCAACGUUCAUAUGUUGAAAAGCAAACUUUUGAAUGAAUAAUGACUAUUUUUCUCUUGAAAGAAUCAAAAUUUAAAACGAGUGUAAAAGGGAUCCCACUUUCUUGCGACAGGAAAACUUUUCCACUUUCACUGCUGACCUCAACAACGAUCACAAAUAACUGAAAGAAUUAUUUGAAUUCAAAUGAUUAUUGUUAAACCGGUGAUCACUUAAUUUCUCGUCUGGUCCGAUUCGAACAUAAUAGUGCUUCCCUUUCUCAAAUAUUAAACGAACAUUACUAACGACUAAUUUCAGAUAAAUUAUUUUUAUUAAUUACUGGUAAUUAUUUUGGGUAUAAAACUCUCUUAGGGAUAUAACAAAAAAAAAAAACAUUUUCAUAAAUAAUCUUUUGACCAUUACAUCAUUCAAGCAAAUUACAACUUUUGAUCAGCACAAAAGUAUUACACAAAUGAAUUACAGAGGUAAGGUAAGUAGCUUUACGAAUUACAAUCCAGUGUAAAAAUGAGAAAAUUUACUUGAAAAAAAAUCAAAUGAGAAAUUUCACACCCAAAAAAAAAAAAGAGAAAACUUAUUCCCCGGAAUAUUCUCUUUUCAGAGAAAUAUGAAACACUCUAACGAAACAAGCGGGUUCUCUAACAACUCCUCAGUGGUAUAACCGUAAUUCUGAUACUGUUGCUGAUCCGACCCGUUCUUAUUCGGAUCUAUCCUAACCCGAGCCGGAGACUGAUUGUUUUUUCUACUCUUAGCCCCACCCACCCGACUCUGAUUCGAAUCCAUCAUGGAUCUAUUCGUCGCCGGCGAUCUCGACCUUCUUCCGGAUCUCUCACCCGGGUCUCUCGUGCCCGACCCGAAUCUCGCUCCAUUACACGUACCGAUAUUUCUCUUACGAGGAGAUUGAUCGGUUCUUCGGGUCGGGUAAUUAUUACCUGCGACCCGGGUCCGAGAUUUAGCCGGAGAUCUCUGAGAUUUCCUCUGCUUCAGCUUCACUUCUUCCUCGUCGUACACAUUCAUCACAGCCGUCGAAGAAACACUCUCGCUCAAGCUCAAGCUACAAAU